UCGAAGAUGGCCUGGAGAGGAUUAAGGCCUUCUAUGGAAGGCAUGCCAAAAAAUAAAUGAGCCGGUCCAUGCUGGCUCCACAAAGGGCUGAGAUCAUCAACUGCUCGUUGGAUAUCGAGAUGCCUGUGUGGCCACGUCAAAGAUCUUUGCAAUGUGUGAAACAAGAUAAGUAAAUCCAUAAGAAAGCUAAUUAUCCGGGCAUUUGCCCGGAAGCAGGGGAUGGAGGAGGAGGCAACCGACCUGACUGUUGAUUCAAUCCGAAACCUCCGUAGCAUUAGCUUUGGCUUGAAUAAAAAACUUCGAUUAAGGGCUUCUUAUUUUGCUGCUCGUGCCCGGAAGCAGGGGAUGGAGGAGGAGGAAAUCAACCUGACUGUUGAUUCGAUCCGAAAGCUCCGAUGCGUUGGCUUUGGCUUGAAUAAAAAACUUCGAUUAAGGGCUUCCUAUUUUGCUGCUCGGCAAAAUGUUAAGCAGCAGUGUCAUUAGGUGAUCAACAACUACCUGUUGUCGGUCUCAUGUUGUCUUGUGCUUGUACUUUAAUUCUCUUUAGAAAUAAAGAUGUUAUGGCAUUAGAUAUGAACGUUCCGAUUUCAUCGCCUCGAUUCGCCGAUAAUUUCUAUUGGCGAAGCUAAUUACAUCGAGGGAAACUCCUAGGGAGCUCAUGAGGAUAUCUCUACUCGAACGAAAACAUAAAAACUCCCUCGAAAUUUGUUGACAUGUAUUCUCGCCUGCGUGCAUGUUUCUGCACGUCAUGCCUAGAAAAUUCUACACGAAGUAAAUUAGCCUUGUUGUCCAAAGGUACCUUUCCAUCAAACUUAAUCGCCCUUGAGGCCUUGGUGACGAGGGCGAGCCCUGCUAGCUCACCGGAUAUGGCAGCGGGUCGGCAAGCAGUGGUGGACGGCAUCAGGUGGUAGCAUUGCAGCGGUAGUCUUGCGUGGCCAGGUUUCCUCGGCUUGGCCAAAAGAGGACUCUCUCUCUCCCUCUCUCUUGUUCCCUUGCUUGAACCCCCUCACUUGCUAGAUCCGGCGAGCUGGCGAGGCUUGCCCUCGCCGGCCAUGGGCAAAGCUUAACCCUCGCUAGAUCCGGCGAAGGCGACCCUCGCCGCCUAGGCCAGAUCCAAUGACUGGCUGGAAAAAGAAGAUGAGAAGAAAAAAAUAAAGAAUAAAGAAUAAAGAAUAAAGAAUAAAAAAUAAAAAUAAAAUUUUUAAAAAUAUUAUUAAAAAUUGUCUACAUCAGUGUCAAUCAUGCCACGUCAGCCGACUAGCGUCCAGUCAAAAAUCUGGCCAAAAUAUUAAAAUUGAUCAGAAAGGACUGAAUUGGCACAACCUAAAAAGAUUUAGGAUUAAAUCGGCACAAAGAUAAAAUAUUUAUGACUUUUUUGACACUUUUCCCAUGUUUUGCUAUCCUUAUGUUUGUUUGUUGUCCAGGGGUUUAUUUAAUUUGUUUCCGCAUACAUUUAAUCGAAAAAUAAAAAGAAUAGGUCGGCGACAUGCUUUGGGAUGUUGCAUUAUGUGCGCAUACCCAGGUGGGCGUGACAUCUCGACAUGAUAACUCCCAAAUCUAUCUCCCAAGCAAUCCAUAUUGUAAAAAUCCCACGCAAUUCACAAGUUCUUUCACUAGGUACGAAAAGAUAAAAUACAAUAAAAAUACGGAGAAUAAAUAAUUUAACAGAGCAUCUUAUAAAAUUUUUAAUAUAUAUAUUGUAUUCAUCGGGAAUUGUGAUUGAUUCAAUCCCGUCCAGUUUCGGGCAAUUCUCGAUUCUUUUGCAUACCCCUACACCACUUGAUCCACACCCAAUUGCAUGCAAAUGGUGAAAAUACACUAAGUUUACAAUGGAACUACCGUCACACUAUUAAAUAACGCAAGAACUCGAAGAACGACAGUUUCGAAGGGAAGGUACGUGCGUGCAAUAGCGAAAUCUAAUUACCAAACCGAGAGAAGGAAAACGAUAUUUUUACUGGGGAAAUGCCUCGAUAAUGGAAGGCAGGGCUUGGAUCUUGAUGAUGUUGUGGCGAGGGAAGCCGCCCUGUUCCAGCAGCAGCUUCCACUCAGACUCCGUCCUCUCCUUCCCUCCCGACUGGUGAGCCAUCAUGAGCAGGUCGAACGUCACUCCGACGUCCUCGAACAGGCCACCGCUGCCCUCCCGGUCGAGAAGGACCAGGUCGACCAUUAUGAGCUUCCCAGGUUUCUGAUCCGACGAUGCUAUGGCUUUCCUGCAAUUCUUCAGUAUCUUCACGCAGUCUUCGUCUCCCCAGUCGUGUAGAACCCACUGUGUUUCAGUGCAUGGCCACAGGAAUUAUAUAUGCUUAUAUAAUCAUAAUGGUUCGAAAACUCCUCAACUUGUACAACAGCCAAUUUGACUUUAAACUUUUCGAUUUUUUCAUAUUAAUUUUAAACUUUUCAACAAUUUUUCGAUGUUUUUAUUCUGGCUAUUAAUUUUUACCCUUGUUCGCAUAUGAAUUUUGAUAGUUUGAAAUAUUUAAUCAAACAAAAAAGUUUACUAAUUUAGGUAGAGACUAAAGGUUUGAUCAUCCCUAUUUUUUUUAUUUUUUUAUUUAAGCAUGAGUUUUUAAAAUGUUUUGAUUCUACCAACUCAAGAUAUAGCCUUGAAGACAUUAUCCGUAGUUUGGACAACUGAUGAGACAAUUAUUGUGGUGGUCAUCCUCAAUAGGUGAUCGUCAUGAUGGUGUUUGCCAUGUUGAUAGACGCGCUAGUGAAUAGAGGUCGCCGUUAAUGUAUAAAUACCAUGACGCCCAUUGCUAGAAGAACUUCGCAUGACUUAAAUGCGUUAUACUAUGCCUCAUUUACGUGCAAUCUCCCUCUAGUAGGCAUAAGCUUAUGGAUUAGAGAUCCAAAUGCAAUAUAAGAGCAUAGGUCGAUAGUUUAGAUCCUGACAUUCCAAUUGGCUCACACAAAAUAGAAGUCACGCCCAUUUCACUAUUGGUGGGCUGAAUCAAAUGUGUAUAAGGGAGGGACUUACCCACAAGGGGAACCAUCAUGAAUUAUAUUAACAAUUGUGGCAUGAGGCAACCAUUCAAUAAGAGUGACCACACCCGUGGCAAGGCGGGGAACUACCGCUAUUUGCUUAACCAUCAGACACCGGUGUCACUACGGUCAGCCGCACACAAUUCCAAAUUUUUUUUUAAUUUUAAUUUUAAUUUUUUUGACGUUGUUAAGGAAGUUUUUGAGUAAUUUAUUUAUGUAACUAUACGCAAAAUGCAUGCAGCCACACCUUGAGAAACACCGCAUCAGCCUUGGGAAUGGCCUCGAACAUGCUGCCUCCCACGUGCUCCACACCGUCGUGAGCCGGCGCCGUGGCCACGACGUGCAGCAAGUCGAAGUUGAUCCCCCGAAUAUGAGGAUAUGCCCUGACGAUCUCGGCGAUCACGCCCCCGGUCCCGCCUCCCACAUCCACUACCGACCCCACGAGGCUGAACCCGUCCCCGUACGCCUCCAGGACGGCCUUCAUUAUGAUCUUGGCCGUGCACGCCAUGGCCUCGUUGAACAUCUUGUUGAACUCGGGGUUGUCCCCGGCGAACUCCCACAUCUUCACCCCGUGCGCCUUCUGGAACGCGAUCCCGCCUUCCCUCACGCACUGGCCGAGGCAGUGCCACGGCGCAAGCUGGAGCGGGUGGUUCUCCAUAAUGACCAUCGGGACGAGGUUCAGCUCCGAGUCCCGGACCAGCCAGCGGGACGAGUCGGUGAGGCCGUAGAGUGGGUCCCCGCUGUCGGACGGGUGGUGGACGGAGAAGAUGUUGCGGCGGACGAGGAGGCGCAUGACGCGGGAGAGGUAGGGGAGGUCGGGGGAAGGGGAGCCCUCGAUCGACCGGGCUAUCUGGGCCAAGGUGACCGGGCGGCCGCCGUGGGAAUGGAUGAUGUCGGCUAUGCGGAGCUCGACUGCGCAGUUGAGGACCAUUGAGUCCGCGAAGCUGAGCAUGUAACGCCAUAUCUCGGCUUGGCCUCGUAGCAUUGCAGCUGCAUCUCCUUCCUUCGCUCCUUCCAUGGUCUCUCUCUCCGUGAACUUUGCCUAUCGGGAGAAAGGUGGAAGAUUGGAUGAAAGCGAGCAUUGUUUCGUGGCAGUACUUAUAGGAAGAGUCGAGAGGAGUUUCCACGUGUAAAUCUUAAUUCAGGUGACAUUAUUGGGGAGUGUCGCGACCUAACCCUUAUCGUGUGUGGCGACCUAACCCCUCUUGUGGGAGGCAAAUUUUGUUAAAUUUAGGGGUAUUGUCAAUUUCGGGCCAACGGUCUUCCAUUGCCUCAGGCUCUCACAAACUUAUAUUUUACGCGACAUUGAGGGUUCAAAUUUUAAAUUAAUUAAGCCUAUGUAAAUUUUGAUUAAGAAAUUGCCACUAAUCUCUUUGGAUUUAGUUAGAAACCUGUUGACACCUCAUUUAAUUUUAGAAAAUAGAAUUAGAAGAUAAUUUUUGAUUAAGAGAGAAAUUUUGAAAAAAAUUUUAAAUUCAAAAACUCAACCAUAGGAUAUUGGAGCCGCUUUGUUGUCGAGAGGUCGAGCGAAAAUUUUUCACGUUAUAAAUAGGGGCUUCUCUUCAUCUUUCAAGGUGGAAAAAUAGAAAAUUGAAAGAGAAAGAGAAAGUGUGGGGGGGGCUUCUCGGGGUUCGAAAGAAGUGAAAAGAAUGAAAGGUUUUUCAUGGCUUUUUCGUUUAUGCCUUUGAAGAAAAUUUGCUGAAAGAAAAGUCAGAAGAAGUGUGCAGAGAGAAAACAGAGGGGAAGUGACGUGAGAGAGACAGGUGAGAGAGAGAAAAAAAAGAAUACACGAGAGUGGAAGAAAGAGAGAAAGGGGUUCGGUUCUUGAAGGAAAAAAGGGAAAAGUCAGCGGAACUUAAGCUUCUGCAGAAAGAGACAGGGACAGGUGAGAGGAAGAGGGUGACGUGAGAGCAGAAGAAGAAAAGUCAAAAGAAAAGAAGCUGCAGAAAAUGCAGAGAGAGACAGAAGGAGGAGACAUGAAAAUGACGUGAGAGAAAGAGGACGUGCAGCAGUGGAAAAGAAGAAACAAAAAGCAAAAAGAAAAGCAGAGCAGAGAACUGUUCAUCUUCUCCAUUACGCCGACCGUCGCGAGGCACCGCCUGCUGCUUGGCCACCGCACCGUGCCCCGCCGCACCUCUGCACCCGCGAGCUUGCCCCAACGCCGUUGAUCCAGCACCUCCGCUGCAACCCCGAGCAGCCAAGGUCCCUGCAUCUUCCCAACCCACGCUGCUUGCCGCCCCGAAGCCAGCAGCGACCGCCGCGCCGCCCUGAGUCCCCGACACCGGAGCUCUGCUGCUCCCGAUCCGUGCAAUCUGACGCCCUGCUGCUCCACCGACGCCUUCACUCGCCGGUCACUGCUCGAUCUGCAACAGCAGUGACCCAACGACCCUGCAACUUCGUUUUCAGCCGAGAUCCGACGACACCGGAGCCCUGCUGCUCCCGAUCCGCGCAACUCGACCCGGCAACCUCCAAGUCUCUUUGCCGGCCACCUCCGCCACCAACGCCAGAGAAGCUGGUCCCGCUUAGCCUUGCUGCUCUGCCCCGACACCUGCAGCGCCUCCGCCGGAGCCCGAUCCGCUCAGACCCUCCACCCAGAUCUGCUCGAGCACCAGCGGCACCCCCCUCCAGACGCCGAUCAAGCUGCCGGACUCCACACCGUCACGAAGACCCGCCUCUGCAGAUCCCACGACGGCCCCGCUUCCGAUCAGGACCUGCACCUGGAGUUUCCCGGCCCGCGACGCCCUUCGCCGAUGGUCCACGCCGACACCCGCGACGCCCCCGUUGCCAUCUUUCGCCCGGCGCUCGACCUCCGAAUUGCCGGAUCUCGCCGGAGCUCCGCACCUCCGCAACCCCCGAUCGCCGGCUCCACGUUCGCUGCCCGCGUCUGCAACCGACCGUUGGCUCCUCGGUGACUAGCCGCACGAGCUGCCGAGCUUCACUUUUGGAAGCAAAGGGAAAACAAAAGAAAAAAAAAAGAAAAGAAAAAGAGAAAAGCAAAUUAGUUAGUUUGUUUUUCUUUAUUUUAUUUAUUUUGUUAUUACUGUUCAAUUUAGAAUAUUGAGAUGUGCUUUUUUUUUUAUAAAUCUCGUAGGCAUUAACUACAGGUAUUUUAUCCUAAAUUAUUGUAAUUAUUAAUUUAACCCGUAAGACGUUGGGUCAUUUUUUUAAUUACUUUAAUUUUUAGGAAUUUUGAUAGCAUUUCAAUUGUUAAAUCAUUAUAGAGUUAAAAUAAUUGUUAAUUUAAUCUGUGAGACGACGGAUUAUUUUUUCGGUUAUUUUAAUUCUUAUAUUCAUUCUUUUAAAAUAAUUACUUGUUUGGAAAGAUUAAAAAGAUAAAAAAAAUCAAAAAGUGCAUAAAAAUCUAAAUAUUGCAUUGGAGCAUUUAGGUUUAGUAAAUUAGGACUGUAUUUUUAGGGUUAGUAAAUUAGAAUUGCAUUUAUAGAAUUAUAAUUUUUAGAUUAUACUUUUAGAUGGGUGAUUUUUGUUAGGGCUAAUUUUAAAUAAUGUUGGCAUGUCUUGAUUUCUUAUAUAGCUUUUAAGAUAAGAUAUAGUUUAAGUUAAAUUUAUUCCUAAAAUAAAUUAGAAUAUUAUUCACUUUAGAUAGUUUAAUUAUUCUUUAUUAUUAAUUUCGAAUUUCAAUAAAAAAAACAAAUCCAAAAAAUAUUAGGUACAUACUAGUUAAUUUGCAUAAUAGGUUUAAUUAGAAUUUGUUUAUUAGUAAAAUAUUGUUAUAUCUGGAACUUAGGUACUUAGGUCCAUGCACAUUUCAUAUUAAAGCAACACACCUAGAUAUUUUUAGAUUAAGUCAAUUUUCAUUUAAUAAAACAAAAGGAGGAACAAAAAAUGUUAUGUGUGCCACAUGAGUUAUAGUUUUUUUUUUAAUAAAAAAGAAAAUGCUAAAAGAUGAUCAUUGCACCAUUAAGUUGCUUUCUUUUCAAUAAAAAACAUUAUGUCAUUAAAAAAUUAAAAAAAGAUCAUUUCCUUGGUUAGUUAAUAGGUUAAUUCAUAAUUAAUCUCAUAUCAUCAUUAUUUAGCAUAGGUUGCAUAUAUGCAUUAAAAAUGAAUCAUCAUUAAAAUAAAAUCAUAAAAGAGCAUGCAUGUAGAAAUACCAUGUCAUUCAUCCCAUAUCAUAUAGCACAUGCCAAUUUAUGAUUAUAAAAAUUAGAUUGCAUACAUAUAAUGAUAAGUUUAAGUUAUACCAUAUGAAUUGCAUCUCGCAUGUCAUUAAAAUAAAUCCAUACAUAUUAAAUUUAGAUUAAGAUUGCAUAUAAUUAACAUUUUUUUUUAAAAAGGAAAAAAGAAAAAUUAGGUGUCUUGUCAUUUAGAAAUCAUGUUUAUGGCAUGCAUUUUUAUUAGCAUUUUUCAUUGAAUGUUAUUUUAUUGAUUGUGUACCCGCAUGACCACCAUUUGCAUGUUAGUAGUUUAGGUUAAAAUUAAUUAACAUUGUCUGCUAAAUAUUUUUGAAAGUAAAAUAAAUGGUACCGAAAGGGCGUUAGACUAAUCUAGCGUAAUCAUGUCUCCGGACUUAUUGAAUCUCUGGUUCGUAAAAAUAAAGUAUUCUACUUUACCAAAAAAAAAAAAGUAUUCUCUCAUACUUUAUUUGGGUUUUUAAUCAAUCCUAAUUGAUUAGUGGUGGCUCCAAAUUGAAUAGAAUUGCAUGUUUAAAUAGAUUAAUUUCUAUCAAGUCGCGAUUGGUAGGACUUGGGAGGGUCCGUGCCAAGUGUUCAGACUUAGUAAUCCAUUAACUUAAACUUUAGGAUUGCCCUGAAAUUUUAGGUCGCGACAGAAACCCAAUAAGAUACAAGAGGAUAUUCAACCAAAGAAUUAGAACUCGGGGACUUCAUUACGUUAGCCUUGGCUCAUGCAUUUUUGAUACCUAGCCUAAUUAUGUACUAACUAAUACCAUAGUAGUCUAUCAAGAAAAAUCUAAGCUUUGUCAUAACCAUUCUAAAACAAGAAAGUAACAUCCAAUAUUGAAAAGUGCAAUCAAUUAUAAUCAUAAUAGAAAGUAUGCAAGCAUCCUAAAUUGUCCUUGAAAAAGAAAAUAAAACAAAGCAAAACAAAAAUCCUCAUCAUAAUGCCUAAAGGCUUGUCCAAUUCUUGGGCCUUAAUAUUUUGGGUUAAUAUUUUGAAAAACCCCAAAUUGGUAUAUGUGUGACAAAUUUACCAAAAACUAUUUUUUUAACUAUGAAAAUCCCUAAACUGGUACACAUGUAUUUUUUUUACUAUGAAAAACCUUAAACUGGUAUACUUGUGAUGAAUUUAUCCAAAACUAGGGGUGUGCAAAAUACCCAGGAACCGCCCAGACUGCCUAGAACCAGACCGGAACCGCCUGGAAUCGGCAAUUCUUGAGGGAACUGGUCCGGUUCCCGGUUCCAUGGGCGGAUCCGCCUACCCACCCACUUGGAUUAGACCGAAACCUUUUUAAUAUUAAAAGAAAAAAUUACUAAAAGAAACUCUAGAUCUCAUCUCACUCCCUUCUAGAGGUGUGCAAAAUACCCGGGAACCGCCCAGACCGUAUUUGUAAAUUCGAUGCGUUUACUUCUCCCGCCGUUCGCAUCUCCACGUACUUAAAUUUGGUUUUUUUUUUCUUUGGCUUGCUUUGAUGCCACGUAGUCGUUUUAUGUUGAAAACCAAAAUUGUUUCGCGUCAAGAUCAGUUCCAUGGAUUCACCCGGGAACCGGACCGCCGGUCCAGUCCGGUUCCUAGGUGAAUCCAUGCAACAAACUGGUGGAUUCCGGUUCCAAUUUUUCGGAAUCGGUCCUUAGUGGGCGGUUCCUGGUUCUAGGUUGGGAAUCGCCCGCCCGAACCAUCUACACCCCUACCCCAAACUAUUUUUUGAUCAUGAAAAAAACUGAUACACUUGUGACAAAUUUACCAUGAUCGAUCAUAAAAAACCAUAAACUGGUAUAUUUAUGACCAAUUUACCCAAACUAAUUUAUUUAAUCACCAAAGAUCAAAUUGAUACAUUUGUAACAAAUAUACCUCAUGUUAAAUUGGAUUAAUAAAAAAAAAAUCACAAAAAUCGUAAACCGUGACAAAUAGAGAGUAAAAUUCCAAAUUGAUAUACUAAUCAGAGGGGAGGUCAGCGGUGGUUUAGAGCGGACCGCGUCGGUGAAAAUACGGUUUCUUGUUUAAUUUGUAUGUUCCAUCAUCUUGAGAUUAUGGGCAAUAAGGUGUAUACAAUUUCUACUUUUCCCCCUAAUUUGGUGAAAAUACGGUUUCUUGUUUCUCUCUUUUCUUCUUCUUCUUUCUUUUUUGUUUUUUUUGUUUUAGACAAGUAUGUGAUGGGAGAAAAUUCUCAAAAUGUGAGUAACAUGAAAGAUUAAGAUAUUAUUUCCCUGCAUCCAUUAAUUUACAAAUAUUUCGAAAGGGGUUCGUUGCUUUAAUAAUAGAUUAUGCUUUUUAUUUGAUUAAGUUGACAUUCCCAACCAAGUCCAAAGCAUCGGAAGACGUUCGGAGCUUACUCGCUCUAUAUUUUUUCUUAGGUCAAUUUUGGGUCACUAUGGUUUAAUUCUCUAGUACAUGUACACAUGUGAAACGAACCAACCACGUGGAGUCACGUGUUUCGUCGUCCGACGUGGUUUGCCCUUGUCCACAUCUCGACCUGCCCAUUAUUUAUAUGCACACCGUCGAAGUUUCCUCCAAAAACACCACAUGAAACACUAGCAAGAACUUUUCUAGACAUUUGCUGAUCAAACCACGCCCUCGAUCGAUCAUCGAUCCUGAAAAUGACGGUACUAAUGCAGAACAAGAUCAGGAUCAAGACUGAGUAGACAUUCCGAGGUAACAGCAGGCUCGAGGCGGUGGUGACGACCACGGUCCACGGUGUCCUCGACCGCGUGAUGGAGAAACUCGACAGGGACGACUGCAUAGCCGUCAUCCCCCUCGGCCAGGGCAACCCCUCGGUAUUCCCCAACUUCUGGACAGCGCGCAUUGCGAAGAAUGCUGUCGUCGACGCGGUCCGGUUGAGUUCAACUGUUACGCCCUCACCAUCGGCAUUCUUCCCUUUAGGAGGUGAUACUAAGGCAUGCCCUAGAAGGAUGAUGAUUUUAUUAUCCGUUGUGAGCAACAUUCAUCAUCCACCAACACACAUGCAAAAAUCGGUUCUAACCUUAAAACUAGUUUUGGAAAUGGCCAGCAUUAAUUUAAUUAGUAAGCUAAGGCAAACUCGAGGUUUGAAAAUUUCAAUAGGGCCAUUGCCGAUCAUCUCUCGCAUGACCUCCCUUAAAAACCAUCACCGGACGAUGUCUACCUGACGAUGGGAGGCACGCAAGCCAUCGAAAUCACAGUGACGGCUCGCGCUCGCCCCGGUGCCAACAUUCUGCUUUCGAGGCCCGGACACCCAUGCUAUGUCGCACACGCGGCGCUCUGUGGCCUCAAGGUGAGGUACUUCGACCUCCUCCUCGACAAGGGUUGGGAGGUUGGUCUAGAGUGCGUGGAGGAUCUUGCGGACGUAAACACCAUCACAACGAUGGUCAUCAAUCCCGGGAAUCCUUACCGAACUGUCUUCAUUAUCGGGAGAGCAAACCUAACCCUGAUUUUAGAGAUCCUUUAAGAUGAUAAUCAUCAGUUCAUCACAACCAUUAAUUCCUAACAUAAACAAUCCUCUCUUUUAAGGAAAACGGGCGAUGAUUUCUGGAGCUGAACUUAAGUACUAUGUCCGAUGGAGUGUUUGAGUAGGUGAUACCGUUUUUACCAACUGAGGUUUUUGGUCAGUCACUUCUCCUUUAGUGGAUUUGUUGUGUAUGGGGAAGAGAGACGGAGAGACGGAGAGACGGAGAGUUUUAAUCAUGUCGCUUUCCGGUACAAUGUGCAAAAUGUUCCGUGGUAUGUUUGCCAGGUAAUAUCUUGCGACUUCAAAAUUAUUCCUUGCUAGUACCCAUUUCUGAAUCACAUGUUUUUGUUUUACCUCGUAUGCUCAACUUUGCUUAAUUCUGCUUCAUGCUUUCUCCUAUUCUUAUUGUAGGAAUUGAGAUUUAAUUUCUAAUUCGAUUAGUGGCUUCGACAUUUAAAGUUCCAUAUUUGCUCUAUGCCACAGCAUGGGAAUUUUGGAAGAAAUUGAACCUAAGAAUGGAUUUAAUGCUUCCAGUUUCUUUGCUCAAACUAUUUCUCUUUCUUUACUGGUUCUUCAUAUUUGCUCUAUGCCACAGCAUGGGAAAUGUAUGGCGGGUGAUAUUUUGCUCGGAGGUAAAGUUGCCAUUGGAAUAGAUAUGAUAAAACCGCCUAGGGUUCAACCUGUUGAGGACCAUUUGGUUAAUCGGAUUUUUAUGGUUAAUAGACAAGUGUUAGGAUUCAAGCGUAGUUAGGAAUGUCCCCAUUAGUUAGUUUUUUCUCUACGGCCUAGCAACCAAGGGGCCUCGAUUACUUGCCCAGUUCUUAGGCCGUAGGUGGUAGCCAAGGGGUGUUACCACCAAUGAGGGCUGUCCCUAAUAAUAUUUUAGUAGGGCACCCGGUAGGACUGCAUUCCUUAUUUUUACUUGCUGGUGCUUGCAAGCCUCACCCCUCCUUGUUGGAAGUGAAUAUUUUUCUUUCCUGCUAUUGGAGAAUACCAAUGAUUUCACACUAAGAAGAGGUUGAACAUUUGCAACUUCUCACUUUAAUUUAUCUUCACAUCAGGUUCUCCCUGGAGGGUCAAUUGAAUGUGUAAUGUCCCUAUUAGUUAGCUUUUUCUCUCCAUGAUUCAUGGAACAAAGCAUCGCAUCGCAUCGCAAUGCUAUGUAAUCAUUUUCAGUAUAUCUCCCUCUCUCAGGUAGCGUUGAGCUGAUUAAAUAUUUGAAUCGACCUCUCCAUUGUCGAGUUCCAAAGUUUGUCUCAAAGCAUGUUGUGUUUGGAUUGUGUACAUUGCUGGUCCCAACAUUUUUGCGCGACGAUUAAUGUCUCGUACCACUUACCUAGCAAAUAAAAGAACGGAUGGAUUCCAAUUGAAUGCGCAUUCAAGUUUUCAACGCCUGGCCUGCGCCCCAUCAGGCUUUUUUACUUGCUUCUCAGUUGCCUGCUCUUUUUCGGAACCACUUAAUAGGAGAUGAGGAGUUAUUGGUCAAGAAUCCAUCCCCCACAUGGGGGAAGUUGCAUUUAAGGGUUCAAGGAGGAGGGAGAGAGAGGGGGAUGGGUUUGAUUCACGCCAUGAGUGAAUUUCCGAAUGACUUGCGCAAUCGCUACAUUGCCUAACUAGAACAUACCUUUGCUAAAAUCUUAGUGAGAAUGUAUUUACGGGCUCGUCACUGGUCGUAGAUGGUGCGAUAUAAAUCAUAUAAUAAAGAAAAUGUGGGCCACUUAUGGUAACAUCACAGGGAUCAUCAACACCGUUCGCCCCUCUCUAAUGGUUUUCCAAAAAAGAGUGAUAGAGAACCACUAAACGAAAUGCCAUUAGCCCCUCUCCAAUCUCACUGAGAUUCCUGGUCAUGGGCUCAUUUGUUUAUUUUCUUUUUAAAUUUCAGCGGACAAAGCCUCACAAACGCUUUCAAUUCUUUUCUUUCUUUUGUCCGUCUUGACCGAUUCUAUCUCUCGAUUGCAAUCUUUUUCUUUCCACCGAUUGCGAUGAUUAUUUUGAACUUGCUCAUUUCCUCUCUGCCGAGAAUAUCUCCCUCCAUUCUCGUCCACAUUUAUGAUGUAUCUUGAUUAGGAAAGAUAAUUUCUCCUGAAUACAAUCAGCUUUUCUUCACCAAUUUCAUGCGCUAAUGGGAAAAAGGAAAGGGAUUUUAUUAUGUCAAAUUGACGCGUGGGAUUUUGAGUCCCGCCAUCGCUUUGCCGUGUCGGUUUACUAUAAAUGCACAUACUAUAAGAUGUGGAUAUUUUUAUUUAGGGACUGAACCAAUCCCCAUUUUUUUAAGGUGAUAAAUGACUAGGAAAAAUCAAAAUUUAGGUGCCAUUGAAAUAACAUAUUAAAUAGAGUAUCCAUGACUUGAUCAUUUGAAGAUUUCUUCUGUUUGGAUUUUUCGUUUUUAAACCCAUCUCUGUCCAUAUCUUAAUUUAAAGAUGAGUCACAUAUCAACCACUUUCAUAAAUAUGGAUUAAAUUAUGGUUCUCUAACCCAUUUUAAUAGCCCUAGUUAUGAGUAAGUGGAGAAGAGGGCUUGCGGGAGCAUUUCCGUAGCUAUCUGAACACAGACUUUUAUCGAUACCGUGCACUCUCGGUAAAAGGAGCCGCCAAAUGUUUUGCAUUAGUCUUUCUUUAUGGGAUGAAGACAAGGAACUAACAGAUGCCAAUAUCUUUUCUUACUAGAAAACGUAUCCCACCAAAUGGUCAAAGUGGGAGGGGUUAAUGCUAAGAAUGCCCUCUUGUCUAUUUUUCAAAGGAUAGAUUGUUAGAUGCGGGCAUUUUCCCAUGCUAAAGGAAGCAAGGAGUCGACAUGAAACGGAUCACAGAAGAAGACGUAUCCGAUCGAUGAAUGAUUGUUGCUCCUCCCACUCCUCCCACUCACACGGAUUCUUCUAUUUAAUGGAGAGGUUCCCCUUCUUCCAUGUGAGGUGGGGCCUACGUAAGAGCAUAAUCUAGGUAGAACGCUUAUUCCCACCUUGUUUUAAUGCUCUUUCCUGAUGGUAUCCAGGGGCGCUAUACCUCGGAAAGUAUGAAGCCAAGGAAGUAAUUAGAUACAUAUCUACUUCCUUCCAAUGAAUCAAAAGAACUAGUUGUCUCAUCAAUAGCCAAAGUCAACACACUUCCAAUCAAUUCGAACUACUUGGAUUCCUAAGCAACUUGCUAAGUUGUACGUGGAUGAGAUUGUUAGGUUGCAUGGCGUACCUAUAAGAAUACUAUCUUACCAAUAUGCUAGGUUUACUUUGCGAUUUUGGAGUAGAUUUCAACAAGUCGUGGGAACUAAGCUACACUUUAUUCCUGCUUUUUACCUAUAAAUAGAUGGACAAUCUGAGCAAGUUAUGCAAAUGUUAGAGGAUAUAUGCCAUAUUAGUUCUAAACCUUUUGAUUCAGUUAAUUUAAUCAUAAAUUUUUUGAUAAUUUGCCAAUUCAGUUCAUCCAACUAAUUUUGGUAGGAAAUUGCAAACUAAAUUGGUAUAAUUGAAAAAUUUAUGAUUAAAUUGACACUAAUGCAAUAAAUUUAAGAAUUUCAUAAUACUUUUCUCCAAGAUUCUCUCCCAUUACUCUCUUUCGAAAAUUUUAAUUUUUUCACUAUUCGAAUUACUUUUAAUAUAUUUUUGCAUGGACCUAGUAGAUAGAAUGUCAUUCUCCUUUUAAAAUCAUUAUCUGCGCGAUAGGCAAUGCACAAGGCUCCCACUAAACCAAUUUUGAACUUAAUCUAGAGUCCCAUAAAUUACUAGAAACUAAUGAUGUACCGCUUUAAUUUUCGAGUUACUCUGUCAGAUCGAUCACUUCAUGCUCUGCUAGAUAUAAAUUUACACAAGAUACUUAUACAAGGAGAGGGAUGUCGCACACCCUAUAAAUUGUACAUAAGAUACUUAUCUCACAUUUAGCAAGUCAAUCCAUUGAAACAAAGUCUGCUUACCAGAUUUGUUAUCCAAUAUUAAUAGGUAUUUUCAAUAAUUUUGAGUCAUGUCAAUUGUAAUUGUGCAUAAGGUUCAAUGACACGAAUUACAAGUGCAUAAAUAAUAAGAAAAUGUUUACCAAAUUACUGUCCAAUCCCCAAUGAUGAGAUUAAGGAAGAUGAAUGCAAAUGCGAGCAAAUCUCCAAAUCGUUAAGGACGAUGCUAGGUGCCUAAGCUCUCACCAAUGUUUUCUCUAUUCAAGGAGAUUUAACUCCGACGUAAAUAUCAGGAGUGCUCAACAAAGCGACCACCUUGUGACAGCUCUUCAAAAAAUUCUAAAAUGUGAAUGCACUAUUUUCACGAUUAUUAGGGCUGUUAUGGAAAUAAUAGGUUUUGCAUGUUUUUUCCCUGAAAAAUGGAGACAAAGGGAAUGUGGGAUCCCCAUAAAUCAUAAGUAAAAUAAAGAUAUGUAUAUCUCAUAUUAACAAAUGGGGAAAUUAAGUGGUUGAAAAUUUAAUGAUCCCAAAUUAAACAUGUUUAAUAAGUGUCACAAGAUCGCUCAUCAGCACAAUCCAAAUAUGAAAUGUACGUAAAGAUCAUAAUUAUGAGUAUAUGGUGUUUUUCACAAGACCGCACCCACCGACUCCCACGAAAGAGACGGGUUCUUGUGAUGUGACCGGCUUGAUUGCACUGGUCAAUCAAGAAUCAAUUAAUUUGUUGACAAUCAAAAAAGAAAGAAAAAAAAAAAAGAAGACGGGCAAGAGACUCCACAUGUAUUCGCAAAUCACGACAAUUUAUACACCGGGGCGCAUUUAGAAAACGCCGAGUGCAGAUUCCCAUUCUCAUUCUGUCGCUUGCUUGUCUACUAAAGUAAUCUUUGAUUUGUCUCUGGCUAAGUAAGAUAACCAUUUGAUUCUCUUGAACUCCUGAAUAUCUUAACACGUCGGGGCUUGGGAAAGAGGAGAAAGAAAAGAUAAUCUAGGUGGAUUAGGUAGGGUCUGGGAAAUUAAUUUAGGACAAGAUGCUGUCUUGGACCCCACCCGUGAGAGGUUGAAAAAGUUUUAAGAAAGUUCUAAACAUAUUAUAUUUACGUCAAUUUAGUUCUAAAUUUUUCAAUUAAAUCAAUUUAGUCAUAUUUUUUUUUGUAUUUAUAUCAAUUGAGUCUAUCUGGCCAAUUUAAAUCGAGAAUCUCUAAUGUUAUCGUCAGUCAUCCUAUGUGAUAGAGACGAUAUUGAUAUGGAUAUUUAAAAAAAAAAAAUCAUGAUUUUCGAGAAAAAAUAAACAAAAAGUUAUAUAAAUAUGUCAAUGUUCACGUCAAUUGUACCACGUAGAAUGACUGAUAUUCAUAUAGUGAUUUUCGGCUUAAAUUAGCGAGAUAAACUCGAUUGAUAUAAAUUGACAUAAAUACAAUAAGUUUAGGAUUUUUUUGAUACUUUUUUUCGUUAUCAGAGGUGUUCAAACGUCAACUUUGGUUAUCUACAAUCACGGAGAGCAAGAAAGGGAGAGAAGCGCACCAAGAGGAAUCGACAAAUUCGCACGACCGUGGGGGCCUACAUUAGGGGUGUGCAAAAUACCCGGGAUCCGCCCGGACCGCCCGGAACCGGACCGGAACCGCCCGGAACCGGCGGUUCUUGAGGGAACCGGUCUGGUUCCCGGUUCCAGUUUUUGGGAACCGGUGGGAACUGGUCCGGUUCUCGGUUCCAUGGGCGGAUCCACCCGCCCGCCCACCCGAACCGGACUGGUUCCCUUUUAAUAUUAAAAAAAAAAUUACUAAAACAAACCUAGGUCUCUCUCUGUCUCUUCCACUUCUCUUCUGCGGCUGCCUAUCUAUCUCUCUCUCUUCCUCAGUUUCUCUCGCUAUUUCGAUUCCUCCUCGGUGACCUGUGCGUCCGCCUCUCCGCACGAGCCGCGAAGCCGUUGUAGCCCAGUCGUUCACCACCCUCCUGCCGGCGCCGCUUCGAUCUCAUACCCGCGCGCCCACCGACCUGCGACAACUCUGCACCUCCGCCAUCGUCGUUGUCGCGACCAAUUUUUCGGUUUUGGACUGUGAACCACCUAGGGUUUGGCUAAUGGAUUGUUAAGCCUAAACUUAACUCGGGCUCUCCCAAGCCCAUACCAAUUCGCGACUUAGGUUCGAAUUCUUAACAUGCAAAUUGAUUUUAUUUAGGAGUCGCCACUAAUCAGUUUAUGGUAGGUCGAUUAGACACCUAAGUAAAAUAAUGGGAGAAUUACUUUACUCCUACGAACCAGAGACUAAGGGUACGGGGACUCGAUUACAUUAGAUUUCUCUAAUGCCCUUUCGGUACCAUUCUUUUUAUUUUCAAAAAUGUUUGGCAAUUGAAUUGAUUUUAAAUAAACUUCCUAACAUGUGAGGUGAUCAUACAUGUGCGCAUACCACCAAUUUAACACUCAAGAAAGCAAAUGAAUAAAUGAUGCAGAACUUACCUCAAAGCAACGAAAGCAUCUGCAAUGUUAAUUUAGAAUUCACAUCAGCAGUCCUAAAUAUGAUUUCUAAUUAACACGCAAUUUUUUGUCUUGUUUUCACUUAAUUAAUGAAAAUCAUGCAAUAUGCAAUGCAUGCCACUAAGUUAACAUGAAAUGAUAUGACAAGGCAACAUGACUUAGCUAUAUGACCUAAGCAAUAUGACAUAACUAAGCAUGUAAUCUAUCCUAAGCAUGAGAUGAUUUAUUCUAAAUAAUUUUUUUUUAUGAGAUUCGAAAUUUAAGAAAUGCAACAUUUAAAUAUGCAAUCUAAAUUAAUCUAAUGACCUAAUUCUAAUGAUGGGCAAUUUCUAAUUAAAUGCACCUAACAAAAAUCACUAAAUGACGUGCAUUGUAUGAAACUAAUUCUAUAUGACGUGCACAUGAUUUUUAUUUUCCUAAUAAGCAUGCAAUCUAUUUAGGAGAAAUUAUCUAAACCAAUAAUAUGCAAUCUUAGUAUGCAAGAUAACAAAAACAAACCUAGUCCUUACGGAUUUUUCUUUUUGAUUUUUUUUAUUUAAUGAAAAUAAAAUUGAUCCAAACACACGGUAUCAAAUCAAACAAGAUAAUAUUGAUAUCUAAAAAUUGGCGAACCAUAUCUCGCGCAUGAGAUCGGGUUGACCAAUUUUAAUUUUAAAUCGCGAAUCAAAUCUCGGGCUUGAAAUUGGAUUGUCGAUUUUUAUAAGGGAUUGCGAGUCGGAUUUUGGACGCGAAAAUCGGACUAUCAAUCCCUUGCUUGAGGGGGCACUUUCAUGUUGGAACAUAUUUAGGAAUAAUCCUACUAAAGGAAAAAAGUAAAUAAGUGAGAAUAACAUUAAAAAUAAAUAUAUAAAUAAAGUAAAUAAAAAAGGAACUACCUAAAUGAUUUUUUUUCCUUUAUCCCUUUCAAGCUUCGUGUCCGUGCGGCUGGUCACCGGCUCCGGUGAGGGGCAGCAGAUCAGAGGUCUGGCAGGGAAGAAACUCCGGCGGCAGCAGGUGGCGGAGUUCGGAAAGGGGACUCGCGGGUCACGGCCAAUUGCGAACAGCGGGUGCUGUGCGGGGGUUUGGAUCCGAGCGGCGUCGGCAAGGGGAGUCACAGACAGCUGGGCUGGCGUCGCGGGUUGCUCGCGAAGGAGGCACGGCGAGGCUCGACGUUGUGGUGGCGCGGGUCGUCGGGCGGAGGCUGCUGCAAGGUGGUGCGACGCUGGGUGGGCGUCCGGAUCUGGCGCGGCUUCAGCGAGCGUUGGCGAGGGCUCUGCAGGCGGCGGUAGGCGCGACGGGAUCUCAGAUCAGUGCAGUUCGGUGGCGUCGGCGCAGCACGGGUCAGCGUCAAGAUAGCGACACCGUGACCAGCGGGCAACAGGCGGUUCGCGGGUGCAGAGGCGCGGCGGUGGUAAGGUGCGGCAACGGUGCUCGCGGUGGCGCAGCGGCGUCGGGCUUUCGAGGGGGUGAGAUCGGCGGCUUCGGUAGGGCGAAGCGGCGGCGUCCAGAGGGCAGCAGCGCGGGCGGCAGUCGAACCCACCGGGGAAGAAGAACAGUGCUUCUUCCUUCUUCUUUUUUAUUUCUUUCUCUCUCCUCUUGUCUCCUCUCACGUCACUUUCUCUCUGUAAUUCUCUUUUCUCCCCCUUUCUGCAGAAGCUUUUUCCUUUUUUCUGCUCUUCUCUCUUGACUUUUUUCUUAAUUUUUUCAACGAAGCUCCCCCUUUAAACCUCUCACACGCACGGCUUUUAUAGGAAAAGGAAUUGGAUUUUCAAAUUAUACUUCGAAUCAAUCUUCGUAAAUCUUUUCACAAAAUUCAUCCCAUAUUGAUAAGGAUUCGAGAUCAAGAUGAAAUUUUUUCUAAAUCCAAAUCUUUCAAGGCCAAAUCGCAAUAUUUUUUUAACCAUCUGCCCUAUCUAAAAAAAAUUCAUAUCCCGAUUGAAAUUUCAAAAAUUAAUUUUCCCACGAGAUAAUGUUCGAUCAUUAAAAAUAUGGGCCUGGGCCGACUUGCUCGUUUCAUGGGCUUAAUCCAACUAAUUUGAAACCAUCCGCCUUCCGUCCAAUAAAAUGCAAAAAAUGCAAAAUAAAUGCAAAUAUAAAUCUAUGUGCUAUGCAAUUAAUAAAAAUUAACCCAUAAUUUCCUAUGUAAUAAAUGAAUAAACUAAAUCGUCAAAAUUUAGGUGUCAACAGUCGUCUUGCCAGAUCCGCCUUCCCCCUGACGUGCAGCAUCGCAACCGUCGCUCGUUUCUUCACGCCGGUGGCCGCGACUCCAGCAACCCACGAGACCCAUCCGCGACCAACGCUCGGCGUCCCCUGCUUCAGCCGCGCGCUGAUCUCGCUCGACGACUACAGAUCUGAGCUCAUCUCAGCCCUGACGCCGUCGCGGUUCAGCCUCCCUGCCAGAUCCGCCUUCCCCCCGACGUGCAGCACCGCAACCACCGCUCGUUUCUUCAUGCCGGUGGCCGCGACUCCAGCAACCCACGAGACCCAUCCGCGACCAACGCUCGGCGUCCCCUGCUUCAGCCGCGCUAAUCUCGCUCGACGACUACAGAUCUGAGCUCAUCUCAGCCCUGACACCGUCGCCGUUCAGCCUCCCUGCCAGAUCCGCCUUCCCCCCGACGUGCAGCACCGCAACCGCCGUCGCCGUUCAGCCUCCCUGCGACCCACGAUCCAGUUCAGCGACCCCCAACCCAGCUCCGCUGCUGCCUCUCGCCCAAGCCUAGCCUACAUGUCAUCCUUUUCCUCCAUAUUCUAGUGGACGAAUUUUGCUUGGAAAGAUCCAAGCAUGAACUAAAGGGCAAAUGUGGGAUUUUUCAAUAGUUUUGAGGAGGAAGAAGAAAUCUUCUUUAACGCCAAGGCUUGCAUUAGAAGUCCGGCGUCUUCUAAUUUCUAGUCCGUCGAUGAAAUAUCAUCUCGACCCAAGUCAAAACUGAAAAUCACUGCUGCUCCUGACUAGAAAAUGGAGGAGAGGCAUGUGCAAAACCAUCCCUGAAAUCAUAAAAGAACUAUUACCGAUGAUUGUCAGCGACGGAAUGGUGAUUGCGGUAGCUGUUCCCUAGAGAAAUGCAUUAAGGAUGGCUUGCUUUUGUCCUGGAUAAUAUGUUUUACGCAAACGAGAAGGAAAAUGCUUCUAAGUCUUUGGAAAUGACUUCAAUUCUGAAGCUAAUUGCCCGAAAUCCCACAUUUCAGAUGGCCUGAAGCACUUCUGCUGAGAUUGCUUAAUUUAGUUACGUAGUGGACAUACAAGUUGCUAAGAGAGGAAGACAAACUCAAUUUGUUCUUGUGAAUUUGCAAAGGGACAAUGCUCGAACCUAGAGAGCAAGCACAAUUCCCAUGGAAUGGACUUUUCAUUGGUAUGUAUCCACGAAAAUGACAAGAUAGAGAUGUCUUGUCCCCGAAACUUGAUUGGUCAUCAUUACUGCGGACUUUUUUUUUUGGUCGAAAAAGAGAAUAUAUUUCCAUUUACGUUGGGAAAAAGGAAGAGCCCAUUAGAAAGGCUUCAUUACAAAGCAAAUCUAGCAUAGCUUGAGGUGGGCUUGUAGCCCAAAGAGCAUGUUUGUUUGGUUCGGAAUACAAGCAAAUGUGCGCAUGCAUUGAUGAGUAAUUGAAAGUGAUAAUUAUACAAAUGGUAUUUGAACUUUGCUCAAUGUAAUAUAGCCUAUGAACUUCCAAUUUUUCGAUAUUGUCUUUGACUUUAGCCCAAUUUAUAAUAUGGUUUCAUUUGUUCAGUAUAGUCCAUAUACUUUUAAUAUAUAUUUAAUAUAGUUAUUGAAUUAUAUGAAAAUAUUUAAUUUUAUUUAUGGACUAAAUUGAAUAUAUACCAAAAGUUCAAAGAUUGUAUGGAACGACUUAAAAGUCCAUGGAUUGUAUUGCACAUUAGAUAAAUGUUUGUAGGAUCAUUUAUGUUAUUUUCCCUAAUAAAAAUUUAAAAGAUUGAACACAAUCAUCAUUGUUAUGAAGUACUUGAAUUAUUUAAUGAUAUCAGCAAAUGCGCAUACGCACUGUGUGUGCAGAAGUAAUCAAAAUUUGAAAGAUCAAGCGAAAUUAUUUUGUUAUGGAAUGUUUGAAUCAUUCAAUAAUGAGAAGAAAUUAUUGACAAAAAUACAAAAUUAUGAAUAUAUUGUAUUAUUAGUGGAUCAAUAACAAUAAUCCAAAAUUCGAAAUCUUUUAGGAAUGUUGUCCUGGCAUAAGACGUAUCUACAUUUUGAUAUUGAAAUAUGUGAGAGAUAAAAUAAAAUUAUGAACUUGCGUGUUUGUAGACGGACGUUAUACUCGUGAGAUAAGCAAUCAAAGAUACGUGUGAAAAAAAAAAAAACAAUUAAGAUUCCCUAUAAGUAGGAAUACGGUAUUUUUUUUUAUUUAUAAUAGUAUAGAUCAAUGGAGUUUCGUUUUCUUCAAUUUCUAGCAAUGAACCAUGGUGCCUCGAAAUAAUAAUAAUUAAAAAUUUAACUUAGGAACAAUAGAGGCUUUAUUACCAAGUGAGAAUGAAUGAGAAAGAAUGGAUCUGAAUUAGGAAAACGGAAGUCUCGUAGCUGGAGAACGAUUGCGGCAUGAUGGCUAAAUUAAAAAAGUUAAGAGCACGAUGUCCUUUCUCUCCUUCUGUCUUUUUCUCCUCCUUCCCCAAGUUUGGAAGUUGCGGUUUCAUUAGAUCAUCCAAUUCCAAUUUCCGGAUGUUGCUUUUGACAUUAUUAUGGUUUAUUCACAUGCGAUUCGCUUUUUUCAAUUAUUCACUGCUUAUUCCGAUUCCUUCCGAUCCAUCCAAUUGUUUCAUGUGGGUUUAUCCAAAAUUGGCUUGGCAACCUUGACUAUGAGAUUGAACUUAUAUAUACUCCGUUUGAUAUUUAAAUGAUCAACUUAUGAAUACUUUGUUUGAUCUUUUCGUUGACACAUUAUACGGUAUAAGUAGAGAUAUCAGCACUCAUAAUUAUGGUGGAAAUUAAAGAUAAUAAUUUGAUAAAUGUGGAAAUUGAAUGAAAAAACAAAUUAGAAGAAAUCUUUAAAUGAUCAACUCAUGGAUCUUCCGUUAAUGUGUUGUUAUCUUUGCACUUGUAGAAAAUUUUGCACUGUAACCAUUAUGAUAUUUUUGCCAUUUGAUUUUUUAUUUCAAUACUUCGUCUCAUUGUCGCGACAGUGGCCGUUGAAAAGACUUUGAGAGAGAAGAGACAUAAAAUGAGAGAGAUCGCGUGCGGUGGGGGGAUGUGGUGGAAUAAGUAAAUAUACAGUUUGGAUUGUGCAAAAUGAUAGGGCUAAACGGUCGUGGAAAAAUCCUAGAGCCACAUAAAAAUUGUGUUGAAUUUCGAUGAAUAAUGGCUAUCUCCUAUAUACGCAUUUGCUGCCUUAGAUGGAUGAUAUCUCUCAUUUAUCAAGUGAGAUAUGAAGCUUCGGGGCUAGGCUUAGGUCUUUCCUGAUUGUUUGACAUCUAAAUUUUAAUUUUUCCUGGUCAUUUAUCACAUAAAAAAAAAAUUAAGAAUCGAUUCAGUCCCUAAACAAAAAUAUCCAUAUCUCAUAGGAUUUGUAUUCACAGUAAACCGACGUGGCAAAGCGAUGGGGGUCUCAAAAUCUCAUGCGUCAAUUUGACGGAUUUGAAAUCCCUUUCCUCCCCAUUAGCGCACAACUUGGUGAAGAAAAGCCACUCGUAUUAGGAGAAAUUUUCUUCUGUCCUAAUCAAAGCCAAAUUACAGAUGUGGACGAGAAAGGGGGGAGAUACUCUAAAGAGCAAGUUCGAAGUAUUAGCAAUCGUAGUCGGUGGAAAGGAAAGGGUUGCAAUCAAGAGGGGGAAUUACCAAAAAAAUCCUAAACCUAUUGCAAUUGUUCCAAUUCAGUCCUAAUUUUUUUUUUGGCCAAUUUAAUCCUAAAUUUUUUAUAAUUAUGCCAAGUUAGUCAAUUUGGCCAAAAUUGGCCAGCCAAGAUCGACUAGGGACAGCUAGCCAACGAAUGCUAAUGUGGCAAUUUUUUUUUCUUUCAAAAUUUCUAAUUUUUUUUCUUUUUUUUCCCCACCUUCUCUUUCCUCUAGCCGACCUUGCCCAGCGACGGCAAGGCUUGAUCUCGCCAUGGCUGGGUGAGGCUGAGCCUCGUCAAAUCUGGCGACGGUGGCCUCGUCGGCCACUGGUGAGGUUGACCCUCGCUUGGGCUAGGCAAGGUCACCGGUGAGGCCGCCAUUGCCAGAUCUGACGAGGCUCGGCCUCGCCUAGCCAUGGCAAGGUCGAGCCUUGACGUCCUUGGGCGAGGCUCGCCUUCGCUAGUGACCGGCGAGGGCGAGUGUUGCUAGUGGCUGGCGAGGCUGACCUCACCGACUCUCGCCUUUGGCCGACAGCCGGCCAGAGGAAGAAGAAGAUGUGGAGAAAAAAGAAAAAAAAUUCAAAAUUCAAAAAAAUAACAAUUUAAAAUUCGAAAAAAAGAAUAUAUAUAUAUAUAUAUAUAUAUAUAUAUAUAUAUAUAUAUAUAUAUAUAUAUAUAUAUAUAUAUAUAUAUAUAUAUAUAUAUAUAUAUAUAUUAAAAAAUUGCCACAUCAAUGUUUGCCGGCUAGCUAUCCUUGGUUGGCAUCCACAUCCGGCUAAUUUUGGCUAAAUGAACUGAAUUGACACAAUUGUAAAAGGUUUAGGACUAAAAUGGCUAAAAAAAAAGUUUAUGAUUUUUUUGGUAAUUCUCUCCGAUCAAGAUAGAAUCGCUGAAGAGGUUUCGUCUACUGAAAUUUACAAAAAAGAAACGAAUGAGCCUGGCCAUAAAAUUAUGAAAAGGAAUCUCAAUGAGAUUGGACAAGCAAAGUAAGGCAGGAAUGGCAGUCAAUCGGUAAGGCAAGAAGGAUUUGACUGAGAGUUACAACAAGAGCGGCAAAACUUUAGGAAAAAAAUAUAAAAAAAGUCAUAAAUCUAUUACUCUUAUAACAAUUGAGUCUUAAACCAAUUUAGUUCUGCAAGUGGGCCUACUUUACACUACCAGCUUUGACAUUAAUAGUUUUUAAUAUUAUUUUAAUAUCUUUUUUUUUUAUUUUUUGAUUUUUUUUCUUUUACUUUUUUUUCCCAUGUUCUUCCUUUUGCCGGUGACAGGCCAUAGGUGAUGACGGGUUAACAGCCAUGGGCAGGCUGGCCUUGCCUAUUGCACUAAUCUCUUGAAACACGAGAUUUAGAAUCUUGUUUACCUAUUCUCUUAAGUUAUAAUCUAUUCUUUUAAGUUACAUACUGCAACAAUAAGAGUUAGAAUUUUCUCCAUAUGAAGAGUAUUUUAGUAAAUUUUGAGCUACUGACUCUUAUUUGAGUUGACAAUCCCCGUUUAAUAUUGUUUUUUUUUUUCCUUCAGUUACUAACAACCCAUUUUUGUUCGCUUGAUUAGCAUCAUAGGAACAACUUAAUUGCUUUCUGUUUGAAUAUACAUAUUUCUUAACCGACCGUAUAUGUGUGUGUAUGUAUAUAGACACUAGUUCUUAGACUAACCUGGAGAGACUCGCAUCUAUCUCGAUGGCGCUCGCAUCUAUCUCGAUGGAGCUUUGGAUCAUACUCUGGCGAGCUCCAAAGAACAUAUAGACCUCUCAAGGCCAUCUUGGAGCUGCCCCUUAUCUUCCCCAAGGCUUCAUCGUUAGACUAACUUAACCACGAGGGGACCAGAAUAAGAACAUGAAGAAGCGAACAGCAUCGUCUAUCUCUUUAUGAAUUAUUUAGCUUAAGCUUCGUAAGUAGCUCACUUCAUGAUCAUAACUUAAAAGGUUAAUAUUAAACAACUUGACUCGUUAGACUUGGUCCUUUUCGAAUAAAUGAAUAGCACAAAAAAUGUCUUUGCACUAAAAAGAAACCGAUUACAUUGGAUAAGUGGCCGAAUGACCAAAAAAAAAAAAAGAUAAGACUACUUCGCUGGGACAAGGAAAACAAGGUUUGUCUGCUCAGGAAUGAAUCCGCGAUCUUCCAGCCAGCGACGUACCACUGCCCUGCUCCCGGUACUCAUAUUCCCAAUAUGAACGCGGUUCAGAUUACCGCGAUUGGCCAAGAAUUGCGGCCACAAGCCUACAAAUGCCCUGGCUUCGGUUAUUGAACCGAGGACCAAAAGCUCUUCCUGCCUUAUCAAUUGCAUGCUAAGAUUCAGAUUCGUUAUCGCGGUCAUGUACGAAUCAUGAUACUCUUGACGUUCUUGUUUUCUGAAGACAAUUAAAAAACAAAAAACAUAUAUAAGUGCUAAAAAAACAAAAGAUUUUCGGAAAAGAAUGUAAUACUCACGUUAACUCUAUGUUAAACUGGUUUUGAGUCCACGCAUCCUGCGCCAUGCGAUAAGCAUCGAACUUCCGGCGGAGGAGAGUAGCUGGAUCCAUUGGAAGAGAAGGUUUGAGAAGAGAAGGGGGAGGAAGAGAGAAAGAUGCGUGCUGUACACAUUCACCAAAUGAGCAAGCAGCAGCGUCGUGUCCCAAAGGCGUGUUGGAAGUUGGUGGACUCACAUAAAACUGGAAAAAAGCCAAGGGGAGUGAUUGAGAUUGAGUUCGUGCGUCGUUUCUUCUUCGAAACACUUUCCGUCCUCGAUGCGUGGCUUAAGCACCCUUGACAAUGAAGAAGAAGCAGCAGCAUGUGAUAUUUCAAUGUAUUCACGCAAGCAAGAGAUCACAAAUUCAAAACUAACAAUAACAAAAUAUAUAAUCACAUAAAAUCUACUUAAAAGCAACACCUCUACACACUGAUCGUGUAUACAGGAAUCGAAAAACGAGCAGAAACAGAGAGAUCCUAGAAGGGGAAAAAAGAAGAAGAAGAAGAAGAGGUCGUGCCUACUCGGGAUUUGGACGAAGCUUCUUGUUAAGAAUAAGGCAAAAAGUGAAUUGGAGAAUUUUAUUUAUAAUAACUAAUAAGGAGUAGGCUUUACAAGGUAACUAUCCACCGCAACAAAAUAUUACAAAAUCAAUUACAAGUAAUUACAUAGAAAUCUAUAAUAUUAGGGAUAUCUAGAAUAUUGUGAAGAUAUCUAGAAUAUAUCAAACUAAAACAAAGAAUUGAGUUGAUCAAGCAUACUUUUCAUUGAUAUGUUAUGCAGUAUAUAUAGAGAUAUCACCUGUAAUUAUGAUGGAAAUUAAAAGAUAAUAGAUAGCAAUUUGUAAAUUGAAUAAAAACAAAUCGGGAGAAAAUCUCUAAAUGAUCAACUUGUAAAUAUUCUGCUUGAUCCCUUCAUUGAUAUGGUACACAGUAUAUGGAUAGAGAUAUCAUCACUUAUAAUUAUGUGAAAGUUAAAGAUAAUAAUUUGAUGAAUACAAAAAAAAAUAAAAAAAAAAUCUUCAAAUUAUCAACUCAUAGAUACUGUUAUCCUAACUAUUGACACCUAAAUUUUGAUUUUUUUUCUAGGCAUUUAUCACAUAAAAAUUAGGAACCGAUUCAGUGCCUAAACAAAAGUAUCCGUAUCUCAUAGUGUUUACAUUCAUAGUAAAUUCACACGGCAAAGUGAUGGGGUGCUUGAAUUCUCAUGCAUCAAUUUGACAGAGUUCUUCUUCUUCUUCUUUGGCCGACCGCCGGCCACGACGACAGCCAACGGUCGGCCACAGGCGAGCCUCGAGGUUGCCCGGCUCGCCAACGCUAGCGAGGCCUCAGCCUCACAAGAUCUGGUGAGCUCAAGGCUCGCUGGCGUCGGGUGAGGCCUCCGCCUCACCGGAUCUAGUGAGCUCAAGGCUUGCCGGCGUCAGGUGAGGCCUCCGCCUCACUAGAUCUGGCGAGCCCUGGCGAGCCUCGAGCUCGCCGGGCGUCGGUAGCAUCGCUAGAUUCGGUGAGCUCGAGCUUGCUCGACGCCGACGAGCUUGAGGCUUGCCUAGUCGGUCGCCGACCAUCGUCGUGCUGGCGACCGGAGGAAGAAGAAAGAAAAAAAAAAGAAAGAAAAGAAAAAUAAAAAAAUAGUUAUAAUUUCAGUUUUUAAAAAAAAAUUGUAAAGUUAAAAAGAGAAUAGAGAGAUUGUGAAGUUUUGGCUUUGAGUGAAAAUAAAUGGGUUGCUAAAUGGGUGCAAAGCUGACCCAUUUAAGACCCAUAUAUCUCACUCUCUUUAAUUUUAAAACCCAUUAUGGGUACUUUAGAAAAUAAGGCUUGACCCAUUUAACACCUCUAAGAUUCCAAUGCAAUCUGUUUCUUUUAAGUGCAAAGAUAUCUUUUGUGCUAUUCAUUUUACUAAAAAGCGAACAAGUGGUUAACCACUUACGAAGCAUAUGCUAAAAUUGGAAAAAGUUGUCAUGGUCGGUUUCUAACUCCUUGCUAAAUAUUUCAUAUAAGAGAUAUACACUGCUGUGCGCUUCUUCGCGUUCUUAUUCUUAUCCCUUCAUGAGAUAAGUUAGUCUAACAAUGAAGCCUCGGGGAAGAUUAGGGGCAGCUCGAAGAUGGCCUUGAGAGAAUAAAAGCAUUCUGCCAGGGGCACGUCAAGAAACAACACUUGGGUCUAUAAUUAGUGUCAAAAGAGUAUGAUCCAAACCUCCAUCGAGAUAGGUGCGAGCGUGCUUAGACAAGAACUGAAUUUCGAUUGAUUGCAAUUUCUUUGUGGUUACUACUUGGAUAUAAUUUUAGGCGCUCAGUAAAUAGUAGGUUGAGACCACAACUCCUAGUUUGUCUCUCGAGGUGCUGCACUUGUGGGUAAUGAGUCCACAAGAACUAAUGUUCCUGUUAUAAUAAUCAAGGCGAACAAAAAUGGGUAACUCAAUAAAGAGUUGGUGAAUUAAAGAAAGAUAUUAUAUUAUGGCUAACUCAAAUAAGAGCCGGUGUAUUAAAAAUCACUUAAAAAACUCUUGAUACAGAGAAACUUCUUACUCUUAUUCUUGUAGAAUGCAACUUAAAAUAUGUGCAAAAAAAAAAAAGGACUUUAGAUCUCGAGUUUCAAGAGAUCGGUGCAACCAUCGCAAGUCCGCCUAGGAUAAGCUGGGCACCUACUGAAUGACAAGUGGCAAAACUAGUUCAUUUGGUCAAGAAGUUAGAGAUGCGAACGAUAAUUAUUCUAACCAGAAAUUAAUUUUUGGAAUAAUUUCUAUUAUUGAAUGAAUUUCUAAGUAAAAAUAUGUGUUUGAUAAUGACACAACGGUCAACGACCGAUGAUCGGUGAUAGGCGUCGAUGGUAGCGACUAGAAACUGGUGACUGUUGGCAGUGGCUGCAGGGAUGGCAGCUGGCAACCCACGGCGACGGUCGAGGAGUGGUGGCAAGGUAUAAUGAAUGGCGGCUGGCAACGAUGGAUGGGCAACCAGCUAGUAGUGAGGACGAAUGGUGAAAAUAGUUUUUAUUUCUCAUUUAUAUUUCAAAAAUAAAAAAAGUAAAAAAAUUUCACUUAUAAUUUUUGUUCCAAACCUAUUUCUGGAUUAGAAAUCUAUUCCAAAAAUAAAAAAAUGAAAUAAUUUUACCAAGCGAAUUUCUGUUCCGAAAAUAAGUUUGGAAUAGAAAUGAUUGUCAUGUGUACCCUAAAUAACUCAAUAGCCCCCAAGCCGUUGCAUCCGAUCAGCAGUCUGGGCCUUUGAUAAUGAAUAGGUGACUUUCUCUUACAAAAGUUUGACUUAAAUGUCAAGAUGGUCAAGCCAUUUUUUAAUAACCAAAAUGAAACAACCGGAACAAAAUAACAAAAAAAAAAUUAUGAAUAAAUGAACAAGUAAAUUAUAUAUGAAUUAUCCUGAGAAAAUUAUUCAAUCAAUUAUAAACUUUUCAAUUUUGCUAAUUUAGAUACAAACCUUCACGCAAAAUUCUAAUGUGGUAGUCGAGUUACCGUUGUUAGCGUUGGAAGGAUUAUAUUGAAAAUUUUGUGCAAAUAUUUGUGAUUAAAUAGACAAAAUUAAAAAUUUUAGGACUAAAUAAACAUGUGUACGAUAGAUUUGAGAGUGUUUGGAUGUCAUGCGCAACAUCUUGAAGUUGGCAUGAGAUGUCUUCAUAACUUUGAAUAUGCCGUAAUGACGAGUGAUCUAAUAAAACUUCACUUAAAAACUAGCAAAGAAGAAAGAUAAAAAACAGGAGAGGAAGGUGUCGCGCCCUAAUUUGUGUAUGCAGUGAUCAUGCCAUAUUCUUUUUUCCCUUUUAAGCAAAUAAAGAUAUAUUCAUAAUUAACCAACCGCUCAUGAGUGGGUCCAGAUAUAUUUGGUUUACCCGUGGAAGUGAAUAUACAUGCGAAAAAUUGCAAAGUGUCGAAGAUUAAAAAAAAAAAAUCUAAAAAUUAUAAUUUAGGUUUCGCCGCGUGGUACUGUUAUCAUCUAUGUUCGUUUGGGAUUAAACAAAAGUAAAAAUUGUGCUUUUUUGUUAAAAAAUUAAAAUGUCAUAUUAAGUUUGAGGAUUUAUGAGAGCACAAUAUGUUAACCUACAUCUUCUUUUUUGACCCAAAGAAGAAACAAAAUCGUCAUGCAUGAUUAAAAAAGAUAUGGUUGAUCAUUUUGAUUUUUUUUUACCUAAAAAAAAAAGAUAUGGCUGAUCAGGAAUUUUUGUAUAAGAUAUCGCAUCGGAAGGGGUUUCGGAAUCUUGCCUCAAAUCUAGAAGAGAAAAAAAAUACACGAACUGGAAGGUGAACUGAUGCCGGCGUCCAUGGAUUCUCCAUCUCCAAAGAGGCUCCGCUCUGAUCCUGAAGCCGAAUCUGCAGACAAGGUAACGAAUUUUCAGUUGAAUACACUGGCUGAUAGAGCAAAAGUAGAGCUUUCUUCUUGGUAGGGUUAAUGGGUCAUCAAUAUUCCUUAUCUCGUUGUUUCUGACAGUAAGCUGAGUUUUUUCUUACGUUUGUUUGUCCAAUUUUCCUCCUUCCUAUUUUCCAUCGAUCUUAUUUACGGAUUUUUCUGACCUUAAUUUUUUUUCUCUGGUGAAACUCAACCCAAAGGAUCGGAUCAGCUGUUUGCCCGAAGAUAUUAUAGGCUUUAUAUUAUCUCUUCUAACAUCUAGAGAAGCACAAGCGACUUGUCUUCUUUCCAGAAGAUGGAGGCAUUUGUCUACUUGUCGGGUCACCAACCUUGAUUUCGACCGGUCUGACUUAUUCACCGAGAUGAAAGAUAAUUGCAAGUUUGCGGAAAAGGAGAAGGCAAGAUAUGUGGAAUGGGUGGACAAUGUCUUGCAGUGUCAAAGUGGAGGAUACCAUUUGCGUAGAUUCAUGUUACGCUUUGAUCUGACUAUCUCAUAUAAGUCUCAUAUCGAUCGAUGGAUUAGGUUUGCGUUGACAAAGCGAGUUAAAGUUCUCCAACUAGAUUUUAGGCCGGCCUCUUUUAAGGAUUUGAGGUCUGAUUGUGACCCUAGUCACUUGCCAUAUCCGUUAGGGCAUGAGACACUUAUGGAUGCUGAUGCAGGGUGUUUGCAACGGGCUUCAGGUCUUAGUAAUUUUGGUUUGAACCCUUCUAGUUCUUGGCAUGUUGGCUUAAGGUAUCUCGAAGAGCUCACCUUGUAUCGAGUCACUGUGGAGGGAGAACUCAUUAAGCAAUUGCUUGCCAAUUGUCCGAUUCUAGAGCGAUUGAUCUUAGUAUUUGCUCGUACUUUGAAUAGGCUUAGAGUAUCUGGCCAAUCACUGAAGCUGAAAUACUUACUCAUUGGAUGUUGUGACGAUCUUGAACGUGUUAAGAUUUACGAUACAGAUCUUGUGUCCUUCACUUUUGAGGGAGUGAAAACUCGAUUGCGUUUGUACAAGCUUCCCCAGCUGUCUGAGGUGUCUAUUACAGGAUGUUUAUGGGAGCUUGUGGAUGUUAUGCGGUCUCGGCUUUCAAGACUUCCUUGUCUGCAUAUUCUCAAUCUGAAAUUUUUUUAUUCACCUAAUGUAAGAGCAUUGAUUGAUUUUCAUAAGGUUUCAUAAGUUAUUUUCUUAUUCCAAUAUUUGUUAGUCUUUGAUUCUCUAUUUGUCUAAUUCGUAGGAAAACCUACCUAUUCGUCAACUACCUAAAUUGACAAGUGUCAAGCAAUUGAAACUGACUGUUGACGGAUCUGCAGAUGCAAGUCUACUUCCGUUGGCUGUCAUGAUCAAGGCAUGUCCGUACUUGCAGAGUUUUGUGUUAGAGGUGGGUUUCCGGGCCUCAUUCAAGUCUUCAUCACUUUAGGCAUUAGACAAAUGCAUUAUGACUGAAUAUGUUAAACCAAGUCACUGUAGAAUCCUAUUCUAGUCUCUGCAAACGGGUGAGUUAUUGAGUCAUCAUGUGAUUGGUAUCUGCUUGAUGUGACAAUCCGAGACAUACUUUCUUUUGCAAAUUCUUUCUUCCAUUGACAUUCUCCAAUGCAUCAAUAUCUUAUGGUAAUUAAUAAUAUAUUACAUUCCUUUCGCCACAGUUAAUAGACCCAUGGUGGAUGCCACGCAGGCAGAGAAGAGAGCUGAAAAGAGUUGUUAGACCUCUCCCUCUCCAUCGAUACCUUAAAAAAGUUGAAUUCUACAAUUAUUACGAUAGACAUUCUCAUCUCGAACUAGUGACUUAUCUUAUUGCGAGUGCCAUUGCCCUUGAGAAGUUAGUGGUGAAUACCUGUGACAAAGAGUAUGUUUCGGGGGAAUGGAAAAAGUUGGAGGAACCUAGAGAACGGGCUUUGCAACAACUCAAGGGAAAGGUACCUUUAAAGAUUGCUCUGAUGAUUAAUUAAUGGAACAGAGCCUCAUGGUAUCCAUACUGUUGACGCCUUAAUUUUAUUUAGGUUUAUUAUAUUAAUUAAUUAAGUUUUUUUAAAUAAUAUAGAAAUAAAAAAAAUAAAAAAAUAACAAUAAAAAACAGCAAAGCAAAGCAAAAGAAAAGCAAAAAGAAAAAGCAGCCUCUGCAUGGGCCUUCGGCCCAUCUCCGCCUUAGCCCAGCCCGGCCGAGUCUUCUUCCUCCUUGCGCCACUGCAACACACGCGCGGGCAGGCGCGACGCCGGAGGAGGAUGAACAGACUGCGACGCACGUGGAGCAGAGGAGCAGUUGGCGUCAACGGGACGUGACCGGAGGAGGAGAUGAUGGCGAAUGGGACGGCGAUCCAACCGGCGGGUCGAGCCUCGCCGACCGGCCACCCCUCGCCUAUAAAUAGAGGGGGGCCACCGUCGACUGAGGAGGAGGCCACAGAGGGGGAGGUAGAGACGAGAGAUUCGAGAGAUUCGAGAGAGAGAGAGAGAGAGAGAGAGAGAGGUCAGCCGAAGCUCGAGGUCCCCUGAGAGACUUCGGGGAGCUCGAGCGUAGGGUCAGCCGUGGCGUGGUGAACUCGGAGGGGUCCCCGAGAGACUUCGGGGAGCUCGAAGGGCGAACCCGAGGGAGAGAGAGAGAGCCCCAGCCAGAUCUGACCAAAACCAGGCCUCGCCGUCACCGUCGUUGCUCGCCGUGGCCUCCACCAUCGCAGAUCAAGACCCCAGCUUUGUCGUUGCUCGCCGUGGCCGCCACCGUCGUAAAUCAACCCCUGCCGUCGCUGUCAUUGCCUCCGUUCAAGAAGGUAAAAAAAAAAAAAACCGUCGCCGUUGUCCCUGCCGCCCAUCGUGACCCCAUUCUGUCGCCGUCGCCGUCGUCGUGGUCCCUAUUGUCGUUGCCAUCACCGCCGUGGCCGUCGUCACCGCCGUAUCGCUUCGGUCUCCUCCCUGGCGCCGCGGAUUUGCAAACCCUAGGGUUUGCGAUUUUCCGGGUCGCGAAGCGGAUCCGGACCCGGAAAAUCGGGUAGGGUUUGCAAUCUGAGGGGCGGCUGGAGGACGAGUCGGGUGCCGGAGCCGGGUCGGGUAGGGUUUCGCCGGAAAGCCAGGUCGCGGAGCCGGGCCGGGUGUCCCCGAACGCUUGGCCACGGCGUCGUUUUGUUUAAUAUUCUAAUAAAUAAAUAAAUAAAAGUUAGGCCCGUGUAGCGGGCCCGUCUACGUUUCGGACUGGCCCGGGUCGGUCCCAACCCGCGGAUCCGACCCGGGUCAGUUUUAUUUUGUUUUAUUAUUUUAUAUUAAAAUAAUAUUCUAAUAAAUAAAUAAAUAAAAUGUUUUAUUUUCAAAAAAUAUUUUUAAAAUGUUUUAUUUUCCAAAAAAAUCGAGAAAAAUAAAAAAUAAUUUAUUUUCCAAAAAUAUUGAAAAAUAUUAAAAAAUAUUUUAUUUUCCAAAAAAUAAAAAAAACCAAAAGUAUUCCAUAUUUUCCAAAAAAAGGCCAAAAAUUCACGAAAAAGCCAAAAAGACUUGUAUUUUCCAAAAAAAAUAAAUACCAAAAAAUCCCAAAAAAUUCCCUUUUGUGUAAAAAAAAAUAGAAAAAGACCCAAAAAAUGUUUUUCCUCCCCCAAAUUGCAUGGAAAAUUCCUCAAGCAUCCAAAAAACCUCAAGGUUUAAACAAGAUUAGGUACCGAAAGGGCAUUAGUGAUUAACUAGUAUAAUCAAGUCUCCGAUCCUAAUUUCUCUGGUUGCGCAAAAGUGAGUAUUUCUCCCGAUACUUCGCUUGGGUUCCUAAUCAACUCAACCCAAAUUGAUUAGUGACAACUCCAUUUUAAAAAUUGAUUUACAGGUUAAAAACUUAGAUUAUUAAAGUCGUGAAUUGGUGGACUUGGGAGAGUCUGGGCAUAACUAAUUUCAGCCAAGCCAUUAGCCUCCUUAGGCACCCGCCCCUGAUGUGGGCGCCGAAAAAAAAGAGGUCGCGACACAUACAAGUCAUAUGGAUGGCAUUUUGCAACCUACUCCUCUUCCCCUUUUCAAGGUUUUCUUUUUUUUUCUUUUUCCUUUAAUUGCAAAUAUAAGUUUGUUUAUUAAUAAUUUAUUGUUUUUUGAUUUUAUUUUAGAUUUUUAAGUUAUGCCAUGACUCAAAGCCAAGAAUAAUGGAUGUUCGUGCACUUCUCGUGUCAUUUUAAUCCAUCAAGGACUCCAAAACAACCACCAUUUUGUGUUUGCUGGGUACUUGAUUAGUCAUUAAAGUGAUGGUAAGAGAAAAUAGACAUGUCACUUUCUCAUGCGCUUUUUGGAUGCCUCCCAAUCUAUAUGUGGUCUCAGUUUGGUGUCUCAAUUUGCAAGGAAGUUAGAGAUAAUUCUCUAGAAUAUAUUCCUUUGUUAGAGAUAAUUAUUUAUAUUAUGCAUAUACCUCCCUUUGAUUGUGAAUAUCAUUGAUUAAUAUGUUAUAUAAGAUAAUUAUUUAAGAAAGCCAAUUUAGGCUUUCUCUACAUAUAUAUUUUUGUUAGUCUAGAUCCAUUCUUCUCAUUCAUUCUCAAUUGGUAACGAAACCUCCCUCCGUCCCUCGUUUCUAAGCUUUUUUCUCUCUUCUAAGCCCAGCGAGCUGUGCGAAAAUAAGAUUGUCACAUCGAGUCAAUACUAACUACUUGAUUUCACGACUCCUCGCCCAUAUGAUCGGAUACAAGUUGGAUUCGAUAAGGGGCUUAGCUUAUUCUCUCCUAUCCUACCACGUGUGUCGAUGGCUAAAUAUAUGAAGACUUAAUGAGGUCUGAAGAUCCACUUCUACACAAAACUCCGAAAGUAGGGACGUGCCCAAGUCACGAGAGUCGGCAGAAGUAGACUUUCCAUCUUUCCAUUCAUCAACUUAAAGCCAAUUGCUUGGCAUUUGUUAAUUUAGGCAAUUGACGAUUCCACGGUCCCUUUCUUGCGAGUAGGGUUAGGUUCCGUCUCAUACAAUAAGUUUGAGGCGCUGAAACCAUGGCUACUUAAAUGAGCAGUCCACAAAUACCUCCAUCUCGGAAUGAAACAGAAGUUGCUUGUGUUUCUGUAAGAUGUCAACUGGAAUAUAUACGACCUAGAAUUUCAUCUGGCUGAUAGCUAAUUUAAGCCCUAGGAUUGAGUCUCACUGACAAAGGAAAAAUGUGGGAAAAUGGAGAUAGAAAGCAAGCAACAAUUUGGAGAUAUGAUUGAGGGAAAAGAUGAAGCAGUGAAGUUCAUCGAAGAAGAAAACUCAAUGUUUGUAGAAUGGCAGGAAAAAAAUAGAAAAAUACUAAACUCAUGGUCGAAUGAACAAAACAAAGAGGAUUAUAGUGUCGAUGGUAAGAUGAUCCGGAUUCCGAUGCACCCACACCGAAGAGAAAGAUGAACUUUUGCCCAGUCACCCAAUUAAAUAAAAAAGGAAGUUACAAUUUAUGCUAAUUUAGGACAAUUUAUAGCUAAAGGAAGAAAGAAACGUGCAUCCAAGAGUAGUUCCCAGCUCAAAAAUGGAACUUUUUUGCACUAAAAUUCAUUACCUUGUCAUGAGAAUCUGCUUCAAAUUCAGAGUAGCACCUCUUUCGAAGAUGGAGAAGCAUACAUUCCAGCGCUAUUCAGCUUUCAAUACAGCAAUUUCUUUUCUUCCUUUAGCGUUUUUAUAACUAACUACUACCGGGGAGACAGUUCGGAGUACUAACGAAACUCGUAAGGGUAAUCAAUAACGAGAUCCUGAAGUCAAAUAGUUGCCUUCUUCUUGGCUUUCCUGCUGAAUUAUAUAUUUGUUUGCUGGAAAAGAAACAGCAAGCAGCCUUUCUGAUGGAAAAUGUCGCUUUGAAUGCUGUUGUUCUGCUUUAACUUUGUUCGUGGGCUAGGUUACAAAGAAGCCGCGUGGGUCUUGAGCACAAAGACAUGUACAGACUUGUGUCGUUUUGAAUAUUAUCUUGAAGUUAUUUCUUAAGUAUGGUUAGAGAUGUGCAAAUUGUACAUCCUCACUGAGGUUGAAUUUCUUUACCUUGCGCAGUACGGUAAGGAUACUUGCCUUGCCCACACAUUGGCAUAUAUAUUUUAAAUGAUAUUGCUAAAAAGGUUUUAUACAACAAAUUUAAUGGACAAUUUUUAUAAUUUUUUUAAAAAUUAAUUUGUUAAUUAUUUUUAUUUUUAAGAAUAUAAUAUUUAUUUUUCUUUUUUCUUUUUUCUUCUUCUUCUUCUUUGGUCAGCCGCCGGCCACGACGACUGCCGGCGGCCAGCCACAAGCGAGCCUCGAGCUCGCCCAGCUCGCCGACGUCGGCAAGCUCGAGUCUUGCCAGAUCGGUGAGGCUCCAGAUCCGGCGAGCUCGAGGCUCGCCAGCGUCGGGCGAGCUCGAGCUCACCCCUCGCCGGAUCUAGCGAGGCUCUAGCUUUGCCGAAUGUCGACGACGCCUCCGCCUCGCCAGAUCUGGUGAGCUCGAGGCUCGCCGACAAGUUUGAGUCUCGCCAGAUCGGUGAGGCUCGAGCCUCGCCGGGCAUCGGCGAGGCCUCCGCCUUGCCAAAUUUGGCAAGCUCAAGCUUGCCCGACGCCGCUCACCGCUGGCAAGCUCGAGGCUUGCUUGGCCGGUCGCCGGCCAUCGCCGUGCCAGCGACCGGAGGAAGAAGAAAGAAAAUAAUAAUAAUAAUUAUAAUAAUUAUAAUUUCGGUUUUUAUAAAAAAAAAAAUUUGUAAAGUUAAAGAGAGGAGAGAAAUGGUGAGGUUUUGAGUGAAAAUAAAUGGGUUAUUUUUAAUGGGUUGAUAAAUGGGUCAUAAAUAGGUCAACUCUCUAACCCAUUUAAAACCCAUAUAUCUUAGUCUUGACCCAUUAAAACCCAUUAUGGGUGCUUUAUGAAAGAAAGCUUGACCCAUUUAGCCAUAAAUGGGUCCAUAAAUGGGUUGUGCAACCCAUUUAACACCUCUACAUGAGGCAUAUAACAAGCCAGUUAGCGUUUGCAAGGUAAUAUCUUUCUGCCUAAAAUAUGCCUUGCUAGUACCUAUUUCUGAACCACAUGUUUUUGUUUUACCUCAUAUGCUCGAAUUCUAUUCUAUUCUUAUUAGAGGAAUUGAGAUUAAGUUGUAAUUUGAUUAGUGACUUUGACGUUUAAAGUUCCAUGAUGAUAAUUGACAGUUUAUCGAGUACUACUUGACUUAAGAAUUUACACAGACAAAAUGGUCCAUCGGUACUUUUUGAAGAAUCUGAACCUAAGAAUAGAUCUAAUGCUUCUAGUUCUUUUUGCUCAACCUAAUUCUGUUCCUUAACUGGUACUUCAUAUUUGCUCCUUGACACGUUAUGGGAAAUAUAUGGCAGGUAAUAUUUCGUUUGGAAGUUAAGUUGCCAUUGGAAUAUAUGGUUUGAUAAACUGCUUAGGGUUCAUCCUGUGGAACAUAGCACCGUAGAACUCUUGCAUUAAGCCUAUUGUGUGUGCACACGUAAUCAUUUGAAUAUAUCUCCGUCAAAUUGAUGCAUGAGAAUUCAAGCCCCCCAUCACUUUGUCGUGUGAAUUUACUAUGAAUGUAAAUACUAUGAGACACGGAUACUUUUGUUUAGGGACUGAAUCGGUUCCUAAUUUUUUAUGUGAUAAAUGCCUAGGAAAAAAAUCAAAAUUUAGGUGUCAAUAGUCAGGAUGACAGUAUCUAUGAGUUGAUAAUUUGAAGAUUUCUUUUGAUUUAUUUUUUUAUUCAUCAAAAUUAUUAUCUUUAACUUUCACCAUAAUUAUAAGUGAUGAUAUCUCUAUCCAUAAACUGUGUACCAUAUCAAUGAAGGGAUCGAGCAGAAUUUUUACAAAAGUUGAUCAUUUAGAGAUUUUCUUUUGAUUUGUUUUUAUUCAAUUUACAAAUUGCUAUCUAUUAUCUUUUAAUUUCCAUCACAAUUACAGGUGAUAUCUCUAUAUAUACUGCAUAACAUAUCAAUGAAAAGUAUGCUUGAUCGACUCAAUUCUUUGUUUUAGUUUGAUAUAUUCUAGAUAUCUUCACAAUAUUCUAGAUAUCUCUACGUUGGAGCGCUGUCCCUUCCCAAAUGGAAAAGAACAAUUUGAGUUUGUCUUCUUCUUCUCUUAGUCACUCGCAGGUCCAACACGUAACUGAUCGCUGCCCAAUUAUCUUAGCAAACAAGUGCUUCAAGCCACCUAAAAUGUUUAUAUUAGGCAAUUAGAAAAGACUGAGAAGGUGAAGUCAUUUCCAAAGAAUUCGAAAUGUAUCUUCCUUAAAAUUCAUUCAGCUUAUCCUAAUACGAUCACAUCAUGGAGUAAACGUGUCCAUAGGCUUUAAAUUUGUUCAAUUUGCUCUCAUUCGCGUCGAGUGUAUGAUCAAGAUGUCAAAUUGACGAAAUUCUAAAAGUAGCUAUUGGGGACAAGAGGCAGCCAUCCCUAAUGCAUUUCUCUAGGUACAACCACGGUAGUUGUUCCUAAAGGCCCGUCAACGGUUUUGCAAAGCAACCGCCAUUUCUCUUCGGGAGAAGACGGGGUGACUUGGGACGUGUCGUCACUGAUAUUGGGAAUGAUUUUGCAAUUCUACCUUUUAGAAAUGGUUUUGGCCACACCCCUUGUCCAUUCUCAAGUUCCAAUUUUGACUCUGGAGUGAGAAAAUAGAAGAUGCAUAAUACAAGCCAAGGGGGAAAAUAAUAAAGAUUAAAAUUUAACUCAUUACAUUUUUGCCAAUUCAAUCCUAAAGCCAAUUUAGUCCUAAAUAUUUUCACAUUUUCCUAAUUUAGACAUAAAAUCGUUAAUAUGAACUCCGGUCAUCCUUUAAAAAUCUUUUAGAGUUUUUUAGUAACUAUUUAUUUUUUCUUUUGUAUUUCUUUUACUUUUUUUUUUUUUGGACUGAGGGUCAACAAUGGUCGCUGCUGGACCCUAUUGGAAAAGAAAAGAAAAGAAGAAAACCAAAAUAAUUAUUAAAAAAUAUAUAAAAGAGAAUGUCCAUGUCUCCAUCGAUCAUAUCACAUAGGGACGUUGAUAUCCACGUUAGUAAUUUCCGAAUUAAAUUGUCUGGAUUGACUCAAGUGACAAAACAUUAAAAAAUGUGUAGGAUUAAAUUAUCACAAUAAAAAUGUUUAGAAUUAGUAUAAGUAUAAUAAAUUUUAAAAAAAUGUGGUAAUUUUUCCAAAGACAAGACUAAGGUAUCUUCUGAAAUAUCCAAUAUCAAUGCCGACUAUGACGCUAUCCACCUCUCACGUAUUCAUCUAAUAGGAUAAGGAGAAGAAAAAGAUGAUAUUAUUAAGGCCCUCCUCGGUCGUGCGAAUUGGUCGAUUCCUCCCGCACGCUUCCCUCCCUUUCUUGCCCUCCAAGAUCGUAGACCGACAAAAAGUCUGAUGUCUCGUGGGCUCGAGACAGCAGCGCAUCCUAAUGCCACGUCACGUUUCUGGCCCUAAAUUAAUUUCCCAGACCCUACCUGACUCGCCCAGAUUGUCUGUUCUCUUUCCUCUUCCCCAAGGCCCGACCCUGUUAAGAUAUUCGGGAAUUCAAGAGAAUCAAAUGGUUAAACAAUGUGUUGAGCCAGAGACAAAUCAAAGAUUACUGUAGUAGACAAGCAAGCAGCAGACUAUGAGGAUGGGAAUCUACGCUCUGUCGUUUUCCAAUGGUUAAGCAAUGUCUUACUUGUCUAUUCUUGACCUAAAUUGUCGUGAUUUGGGGGAAAAUAUGUAAAGUCUCUUUCCUCUUUUUGUUUUUAAUGGAUAGCAAAUUAAUUAUUCUCAUCCGAUUUGUUGAAUCAUCUGCUCACAACUCACGUCACAUGAACUUGUCUUGAAAUGUGCAUAUGUAAUUACACGACAAGACAUCCAUGUCAAAAAUAGUCUGUUUUGAGUCUCAAUUUGCAUCUCUAAUGAAAUUUAUUGAGAUUAUAUGGACACAUGGUCAUCUAUUGAAUCUUUUUCAUUUUAUGUGAUCUCGAAAUGCUUAUCAAGCGUGUUUAAUGUUGUUUAACGUUGAAUUUUCAACCAAUUGAUUUUCAAAUUUUCUAAAAUAUAUAUCUAUCUAUAUUUAGCAUCACUAUACUCGCAUUGGCUCAUGAUUUGAGGAAUUCCAAAUUCCCUUUUGUCUCCAUUUUUUUUUGUAGAGAAACGUGUAUUAUAUGUCUUCUCCAUGAGGAAUUAAUGAUUGUGAAAGAAGUGCAUUCUCAUUUCAAAAUCUUCCGAUACUUUGUGGCAAGAUGGCUGAUUUGUCGAACACUGCCAAUAUCUAUGUCGGAUCCAAUCUCCCGUUGUCUUGAUCCUGACUUUAUAUUAGCAUUAGAUUUCAAGACCACAGUUCAUCAUUUUGUAAUGUUGGAUAAUAUUAGCAAUAAUACUAUUACCCACUUAAGCGGAAUUCAACUAUGAAAAUAAAAUAAAGCAAAAUAAAAGGCACAAAAAGGUAUUCUGGUGUAUUAGAGUCGACCACUAUAUUGCACUCAUACUAGGAAGACAACUCUCUUCACGCUCCUUAGCAAGCAGAUUGGAACAUGCCAUCUUAUUUUAUUCUCGUUUCCUUGACUCCGUGUUUCAUUAGGAAGCAAUCGCAAACAUAAUCAAUAAAAAUCAUGUGAUGAUCCGAAAAAUCCUGUUUGAUGUUAGGACAAUACUUAGCAUGCCGAUGACGGACAUUGAUGCUCAUCCUUCAUGUGGAUCUAAGUCAAGAUAUGGCAAUCAAUUUCAAGAUUCGAAAAAGAUGGAACAUACAACAAUAAUAAUAAUAAUAAAAGAAGAAGAAGAAGAAGAAGAAGAAAUGUUGGGUCUUUGAUUAAAGUUUGAAUGACUUGAGCCGGCGUCCGAAGCUCGCAGGAUCAUUUUAUAUAAUGCAAGCGCAAGAGCAUUGCACUACCACAGACCCACGAGAAAAACGAAAGGACGCUCUUGUCCUUCUUCGUCUCCUCCACCGCCGCCACCAUCAUCGACCUCCCGAACUCGACGGGCGAGCAUGGAGAACGGGGCGCCGGCCUGGAAGUUCCGGGGCAACGGGGGGCUCUCAGCCGCGACGGUCAUCACCGUCCGCGGCGUCCUCUACGAGCUGAUGGCGAAUCUCAACGCCGACGACGGCCGCACCGUGGUCCCGCUCGGCCACGGCGACCCUUCCUCCUUCCCUUGCUUCCGCACGGCCCCCGCCGCCGAGGACGCCGUCGUCGAGGCUCUCCGCUCCGGCAAGUUCAACUGCUACGGCCCGACCGUCGGUAUUCUUCCCGCCAGGAGGUAAGAAGGCGGUGUCGCUCGAGAUUAUCAGGAUUAGAUUUCUCGUUUAUGUUCGCGACCCUUUUUGGCUUGAAUCAAAAGGGGAACAGGGAAAAAUGAGAUUUGAGAAUUGUGUACUUUAAAAAAAUAGCAUUCUAAGAAUGAAAGGCCAAAAGAUAUUUUCCUUGUCUUUUGAUUUUUCAGGAUUAUAUUAUAUUACUGCGAAUGAAAAUAUUUUUUAUUAAUUCAUUAUUUAAUCGACAUAAAUAAUCAUUUAAAAAAAUAUUUUUCAAAUUAUUUAUUUUUAAAGCUUAAGCUUUAGAUUAGUUAUCUGUCUUGUGAAAUCUUGACACGAGCAGAUGACAUGCUCUGUAUAAGCUUCGUGAUAGCAUGGAUCGACUCGUGCUUCUUGUGGUCUGGACCGUUUGUUUAGCCGUGCAGCGUACUCCCUAAGCAUGUUAUUUCGCAUCCUCGAUCUUCCUAGUACCUAUGAGUCGAUUGUUGAUGCGUUUAAGGUACUGACGGAGUCUUCUACUUACUAAUUCCCAGGAUUUACGUUCAUGUGGUCAUACAAGAUUUAAGAAAUCGUACAGUUAAAUAGUCAAUGAUUGAGAGGCUGAUGAGUGGCUAGUUUGGAAGGUGACUCAAUUGAAGUUUUUGGACCUUAUUGCGUGUUCUGUUUCCUUCGCAACGACUGCAUGGGGUCAAAUGCAAAAUGCCUAGUUCUGGCAGUUGUUUUGCUUCGAUUGUACGAACCAUUUUGGUUUGUUCGUGGUUGUAUCUUAACAGCAGAGUAGCUGUUAUUGCCGACCAAUAUCAACUGUAUCGUCAAUCAACUCGAAUCAUCAUAUUGCUAGCAAAUACAGUGUAUUGAAAACAGAGAGUAAAUGAUGAAACCAAGCUUUAUUAGUGACUAUAGGAAGUAGUCAUUGUUAAUGGUUUGGAUAAAGAUUGAAUUUUAUGGAAAGGCCGCUAUGAAUGUGUUGAUCUAGGUGCUUUCUGUAGGUUAAAUAGCAAUUUAUUUCCAGACGACAUGUUUGAGUGAGCUAGGCUAAUCGGGGGCACCAAAUUCUACAGGGCUAUUGCUGAUUAUCUCUCUUGUGAUCUCCCGUACAAAUUAUCACCAGAUGAUGUUAAUCUGACACUCGGGUGCAAACAAGCAAUUGAAGCCAUAUUAACAGUUCUCGCUUGCCCUGGGGCCAAUAUAUUGCUUCCAAGACCUGGAUUCCCAUGCUAUGAUGCAUUUGCUAAACACAGCCAUCUUGAGACACGAUAUUUCGAUCUUCUUCCAGAUAAGGGUUGGGAGGUUGAUCUCAAGGGUGUUGAGGAUCUUGCAGACGAGAGUACUGUCGCCAUGGUUAUCAUCAAUCCUGGCAAUCCUUGUGGAAGUGUCUAUAGCUACCAGCAUCUAAAGAAGGUUGCUUUUGCAUUUUGUUUGAGAUCUCUUCGUAUCUUAGCAAGUAGACGAAUUGUGAACAUGGAAAAAUCUAUGACUAUAAGCUGGAAUGGAGCUAAUAGAUUCCGCUGGAGCUUAAUCUAGAGAGCUACCUUGCCUCUUGAGAUGCUCGUUUAUCUCAAGGCAGUGGAAGCUCGAUAGAUUUAGAUUUGUCGCCAGUCACUUUUAUAAUCUUUGGUAUCCACAUUUGUGUUGCAUCAGCUGUUGUUCAUCAUUUUCUUUCUUUCAUUUUUGAAAAAAGGUUGCCGAAACAGCAAGGAAGCUUGGGAUUAUGGUAAUUGCGGAUGAAGUCUAUGGUCAUCUAGCUUUUGGGGAUACCCCAUUUGUUCCCAUGGGUGUUUUUGGAUCCAUUGCGCCUGUCUUGACGUUGGGAUCAAUAUCAAAGAGGUGGAUUGUUCCAGGUUGGCGACUUGGUUGGCUUGUGACAAAUGAUCCAAAUGGUUUUCUGAUAGACACUGGGGUCUCUCUCUCUCUCUCUCUCUGUGCACGCGUGAGCGGAACGCAAUUGCUUGCUUGAUUGUAUAUCUAUUUGGGCCAAAUUAUGUGACUACUAGGGUUGGUCACAGGAUACUUAGAUUGUUCCUUUUCUCUUUACAGGUUCUUAAGUCCCUUAAAGGAUUUCUGGAUAUAUCCUCUGAUCCUCCUACAUUUAUCCAGGUACGUACCUACUCCAGAUAAUUAACCAGUGACUUUCAGAUUUGAAGACGUGGUGUUUUUCAAAAUGAUUUAGUUGCUAGGCUUUUCUGCACUAUUUUUGUAUCACUACCAGAGCGAGUUGUGGAUAUUCUUGGCUAUUCAUUCAGGAAAUGACAAAUUAAUGAGAGCUUUUUCUCUUGAAGAUGGAUAAUUAAAACAAUGGAUACUGCAUAGCAAUGUAGAGUCGCACCCCAAGCAGAACCCCAAUGAUUUACAUGUUUCCUCUCUACAGUCACCUGGUGUAUGUUAUUUUUCUCAGUGAUUUUAGACUGUAAUGCACAAGCUGUGCAUAUUGCUUUUAGAAGUGAUCGAUAUUCCGUCUCAGUCAUUGGGCUUGAUUUAUCUGAACUCACUUUCACUUGAUAAAGUAUUGUUCUUCAUUUAAUCCUUGCAAGAGUGCUUGCUAACUUUUAUUUGUGGACAACUAGCAUCCUUAUCAAAUAACAGCUAAUUAUUUUCUGCUCUUCAUUGUGAUUCUAACAGGCGGCAGUCCCUCACAUUCUUGAAAAAACAAAUGAUGAUUUUUUUUCAAAAAUCAUUUGCAUACUAAGAGAGGCUGCAGAUAUAUGUUAUGAGAAGAUUCAAGAGAUACCUUGUGUCACAUGCCCAAAAAAGCCAGAAGGAGGCAUGUUUGUAAUGGUAUGGGCAUACUAUACACAUACACAUACAUUAUGUAUGCAUAUAUUUUUAUUUUUUCAUCGGUAUAGCGUACACUGUUAUGCAAUUUAUAUUUUUUCUCGAUAUGUGAAAGAUGCCAUUGUGACAGGUCAAGUUGAAUUUAUCAUUGUUGGAGGGCAUAAAGGAUGAUCAGGAGUUCUGCUUAAAACUGGCUAAAGAAGAAUCUGUUAUUGUUCUGCCUGGUAAACUCAGCCUCUCCAAUUGCUGGUGAAAGGAAAAUAUAUUGAUGUUAUUUUUUAUGCAUCUGUUUCAUUUUUCUAACUUAUUUCAGCUUUUUGAAUUUUUCAAACGCGUCCCCUGACAUUUGUUUCUUGAAAUGCACAUUGGUUAAGAAUGCUACAAGGGGCUUCAGAGUGAGAGUCCUGAUGACCAACUUACUUCGCAGAUUUCAAAGGACCCUAAAAUUUUGGAGAAAUAGAAGGGAUCCUAGUGAUUUCAUUUGAAUUUACUCUGUGGAAUUCUUGCGAGCUUAUGCUGAGAUAAUUCCGGAGCAAACCCAUCCCAUUUUCGCCACUUGCUUCUUACUUGUGCAAUGUCCGUAUCCAUCAGAUGAUAAUCGAUGACAUUCGUUUUUGCAAGGAUAGCUGUUGGAAUGAAGAACUGGCUUCGCAUCACUUUCGCCAUCGAUCCAUCUUCUCUCGAAGAUGGCCUGAAGAGGAUUAAGGCCUUCUAUGGAAGGCAUGCCAAAAAAUAAAUGAGCCGGUCCAUGCCGGCGCCAGAAAGGGCUGAGAUCAUCAACUGCUCGUUGGAUCUCGAGAUGCCUCUGUGGCCACGUCGAAGACCUUUGCAAUGUGUGAAACAAGAUUAGUAAAUCCAUAAGAAAGCUAAUUAUCCGGGCAUUUGCUCGGAAGCAGGGGAUGGAGGAGGCGGCAAUCAACCUGACUCUUGAUUCGAUCCGAAACCUCCGUUGCAUUAGCUUUGGCUUGAAUAAAAAACUUCGAUUAAGGGCUUCUUAUUUUGCUGCUCGGGCCCGGAAGCAGGGGAUGGAGGAGGAGGAAAUCAACCUGACUGUUGAUUCGAUCCGAAAGCUCCGAUGCGUUGGCUUUGGCUUGAAUAAAAAACUUCGAUUAAGGGCUUCCUAUUUUGCUGCUCGGCAAAAUGUCAAGCGGCAGUGUCAUUAGGUGAUCAACAACUCCCUGUUGUCGGUCUCAUGUUGUCUUGUGCUUGUACUUUAAUCGUCUCUUUAGAAAUAAAGAUGUGAUGGCAUCAGAUAUGAACGUUCCGAUUUCCAAAUGCGUCGCAAUUCGCCGAUAAUUUCUAUUGGCGGAGCUAAUUACAUCGAGGGAAACUCCUAGGGAGCUCAUGAGGAUAUCUCUACUCGAACGAAAACAUACAAACUCCCUCGAAAUUUGUUGACAUGUAUUGUCGCCUGCAUGCAUGUUGCUGCACAUCAUUCCUAGAAAAUUCUACAUGAAGUAAAUUAGCCUUGUUGUCCAAAGGUACCUUCCCAUCAAACUUAAUCGCCGAACAAGUAAAGCGAAUUUGAUUAUUGUGUACGAAGGCUGGUUUUUGCCUGGAAUUCCUAUUAGACAUGAUAAGGUCGGAUAAAACAAAAAUCAAGCAAUGUUUGGAAAAUCACUGAUGUGUGAUGUCCAAGCUGGAUUUUGAACAGAUGGGUUGAAUGUCAAUGUGAAAGCUCUAUAAUUUUUUAUGUUUGCAACUUUAAAAAUUAGAACAUGCUAAUGGAAAUCACAAAAAGUGUUAAAAAAAAAGUCUUAAACCUUUUGUAUUUGUGCCAAUUGAGUUCUAAACUUUUUUUUAGUGCCAAUUUAAUCUUAAACAUUUUUACUUAGUAUUAAUUCAAUCAUUUCCCAAAAAAAAAAUUCAGUCAUUUCUGGCUAAUUUGAGCUGGAUUUUGCCGACUGACUAUUAGCCAGCUAACAUAGAUAAAUUUUAAUAAUAUUUUAAUAUUUUGCUUUUUUCUUUUUCUUUUUUUCUUUUUUUCCUUCUUCUCCUCCUUCCUUUAGCCGGUGGCUAAACCUCGGCGAUCGGCCAAAGGCAAUAGCCAACGAGGGCGAGCCUUGCUAGCUUGGCAUGAGACUGCCCUCGGGGCACGGGCAGCCUUGAGUUGGCCUUGUGCCGGGCUGGUGAGGCUUACCCUCAUUGUAUCUGACGUGGGUUUAGCCUCGCUCACCGUCGCCAAGGUCCGCAACCAGCUGGAGGAAGGAGAAGAAGAAGGAAAAAAGGAAAAAAAAAAAGGAUAAAUAAGAAGAAGAAAAUUCAAAAAUUAAAAUAAUAUUAAAAAUUGUCAACAUCAAUAGUGAUUGUGCCACAUUAACUUGCCGGCGCCCAGUCAGCAAAAUUCGGCCACAAUUAGCCAGAAAUGAUUAAAUUGGCAUCAAGUAAAAAUAUUUAAGAUUAAAUUGGCACAAAAAAAAAGUUUAUGACUAACAAAUGUAAAAAUGUUUAUGACUUUUUUUUUUAACUCUUUUCCUAUGAAAAUCCGACUAGUGGAGUUAAAAAGUAGCACAGGGCAGCAUACCAAACAAACGUCUUCGGUCCAUUUAUUGGAAGGCAGUUACUAGCCAGUCUUACUACGUUGGAUCCAAUCCUCAAAACCAAAGGGAAAGACUCAAAAGAGGAAGGAGAUGCAUUAUGAUUGGAUUUCUUAAACCAAGUCACCGUAGAAUCCUAUUCUAGUCUAUGCAUAUGGGUGAGUUAAUGAGUCAUCAUGUGAUUGGUCUAGGCUUGAUGUGAUAAUCCAGAGACAUGCUUUCUUUUGCAAGUUCUUUCUUUCAUUGACAUUCUCCAAUGCAUCAAUAUCUUGUGGUGAUUAAUAAUAUAUGACAUUCUUCUUUUGCCACAAUUAAUAGACCCCUGGUGGACGCCACGCAGGCAGAGAAGAGAGCUUAAAAGAGUUGUUAGACCUCUCCCUCUCCAUCGAUACCUCAAAAAAGUUGAAUUUUACUAUUAUGGUCAACCUUCUUAUCUUGAACUCUUGACUUACCUUAUCGCAAGUGCCAUUGCCCUUGAGAAGUUAGCGGUGAAUACCUGUGACAAAGAGUAUGUUUCAGGGGAAUGGAAAAAGUGAACGAGCUUUGCAACAAUUCAAGAGAAAAGUACCUUUAAAGAUUGCUCUAGUGAUUAAUUAACGAAACGGAGCUUCAUGGUAUCCAUAUAGGAGAUAUGGAUGGUGUUUGCAACCUACUCCUCUCCCCUUUUUCAAGGUUUCUUUUUUAUUUUAUUUUAUUGCGAAUAUAAGUUUGUUUAUUAAUAAUUUAUUGUUCCUGAUUUUAUUUUGGAUUUUUAAGUUAUGUCAUAACUCAAAGCCAUGAAUAAUGAAUGUUCGUGCAAUUCUCGUGUCAUUUUAAUCCGUUAAGGACUCCAAAACAACCGCCAUUUUGUGCUUGCUGGGUACUUGAUAGUCAUUAAAGUGAUGGUAAGAGAGAAUAGACAUGUAACUUUCUCAUGGGCUUUUUGGAUGCCUCCCAAUUUAUAUGCGGUCUCAGUUUGGUAUCUCAAUUUGCAAAGAAAUUAGAGGUAAUUCUCUAGAAUAUAUUCCUUUGUUAGAGAUAAUUAUUUAUAUUAUGCAUAUACCUCCCUUUGAUUGUGUAUAUCAUUGAUCAAUAUGUCAUGUAAGAUAAAUAUUUAAGAAAGCCAAUUUAGGCUUUCUCUACAUAUAUAUUUUUGUUAGUCCACAUCCAUUCUUCUCAUUCAUUCUCACUCAGUAAUGAAACCUCCUUCAUUUCUAAGCUUUUUUCUCUCUCUUCCAAGCCCAGCGAGUUGUACGAAAAUAAGAUUGUCACAUCGAGUCAAUACUAACUACUUGAUUUCAUGACUCCUUGCCCAUAUGACUGGAUACAAGUAGGAUUCAAUAGUGGCUUGGCUUAUUCUCUCCAAUCCUACCACAUGUGUCGAUGGCUAAAUAUAUGAAGACUUAAUAAGGUCUGAAGAUCCACCUCUAAUUUGUUUUUUUAUUCAAUUUCCACGUAUAUCAAAUUAUUAUUUUUAACUUCCACCGUAAUUAUGAGUGAUGAUAUCUCUACUUAUACCGUAUAAUAUGUCAACGAAAAGAUCAAACAAAGUAUUCAUAAGUUGAUCAUUUAAAUAUCAAACGGAGUAUUUAUAAGUUCAAUCUCAUAGUCAAGGUUGCCAAGCCAAUUUUUUUAUUCAAUUUCCACGUAUAUCAAAUUAUUAUUUUUAACUUCCACCGUAAUUAUGAGUGAUGAUAUCUCUACUUAUACCGUCUAAUAUGUCAACGAAAAGAUCAAACAAAGUAUUCAUAAGUUGAUCAUUUAAAUAUCAAACGGAGUAUUUAUAAGUUCAAUCUCAUAGUCAAGGUUGCCAAGCCAAUUUUGGAUAAACCCACAUGAAACAAUUGGAUGGAUCGAAAUGGAAGGAAUCGGAAUAAGCAGUGAAUAAUUGAAAAAAGUAAAUCGCGUGUGAAUAAACCAUAAUAAUGUCAAGAGCAACAUCCGGAAAUCGGAAUUGGAUGAUCUAAUGAAACCGCAACUUCAAAACUUGGGGAAGGAGAGAAAGGACAUCGUGCUCUUAACUUUUUUUUAAUUUAGCAUCAUGCCGCAAUCGUUCUCCAGCUACGAGACUUCCGUUUUCCUAAUUCAGAUCCACUCUUUCUCAUUCAUUCUCACUUGGUAAUAAAGCCUCUUUUGUUCCUAAGUUAAUUUUUUAAUUAUUAUUAUUUUGAGGCACCAUGAUUCAUUGCUAGAAAUUGAAGAAAACGAAACUCCAUUGAUCUAUACUAUUAUAAAAAUAAAUAAAUACCGUAUUCCUACUUAUAGGGAAUCUCAAUUGUUUUUGUUUUUUUACACGUAUCUUUGAUUGCUUAUCUCACGAGUAUAACGUCUGUCUACAAACACGCAAGUUCAUAAUUUUAUUUUAUCUCUCACAUAUUUCAAUAUCAAAAUGUAGAUACGCCUUAUGCCAGGACAACAUUCCUAAAAGAUUUCGAAUUUUGGAUUAUUGUUAUUAAUCCACUUAUAAUACAAUAUAUUCAUAUUUUGUAUUUUUGUCAAUAAUUUCUUCUCAUUAUUGAAUGAUUCAAACAUUCCAUAACAAAAUAAUUCACUUGAUCUUUCAAAUUUUGAUUACUUGUGCACACACAAUGCGUAUGCACAUUUGCUGAUAUCAUUAAAUAAUUCAAGUACUUCAUAACAAUGAUGAUUGUGUUCAAUCUUUUAAACUUUUAUUAGGGAAAAUAACACAAAUGAUCUUAAAAUAUUUAUCUAAUGUGCAAUACAAUUCAUGGACUUUUAAGUUGUUCUAUACAAUCUUUGAACUUUUGGUAUAUAUUCAAUUUACUCCAUAAAUAAAAUUAAAUAUUUCAUAUAAUUCAAUAACUAUAUUGAAUAUAUAUUAAAAGUUUAUGGACUAUACUGAACAAAUGAAAUCAUAUUAUAAAUUGGGCUAAAGUCAAAGACAAUCGAACAAAUCAAAAGUUCAUAGGCCAAAUUACAUUGAGCAAAGUUCAAAUACCAUUUGUAUAAUUAUCACUUUCAAUUACUCAUCAAUGCAUGCGCACUUUUGCUUGUAUUCCGAACCAAACAAACAUGCUCUUUUAAGUCUGCAGUAAUGAUGACCAAUCAAGUUUCGGGAGACGAGACAUCUCUAUCUUGUCAUUUUCAUGGAUACUUACCCAUGAAAGUCCAUUCCAUGGGAAUUGUGCUUGCUCUCUAGGUUCGAGCAUUGUCCCUUUGCAAAUUCACAAGAACAAAUUGAUUUUGUCUUCCUCUCUUAGCAACUUGCAUGUCCACUACGUAACUAAAUUAAGCAAUCUCAGCAGAAGUGCUUCAGGCCAUCUGAAAUGUGGGAUUUCGGGCAAUUAAAAAGCUUCAAAAUUGAAGUCAUUUCCAAAGACUCAAAAGCCCUUCCCGUUUGCGUAAAACAUAUUAUCCAGGACAAAGGCAAGCCAUCCUUAAUGCAUUUCUCUAGGGAACAGCUACCGCAAUCACCAUUCCGUCGCUGACGAUCAUCGGUAAUAGUUCUUUUAUGAUUUCAGAGAUGGUUUUGAGCAUGCCUCUCCUCCAUUUUCUAGUCAGGAGCAGCAGUGAUUUUCAGUUUUGACUUGGGUCGAGAUGAUAUUUCAUCGACGGACUAGAAAUUAGAAGAUGCCGGACUUCUAAUGCAAGCCUUGGCGUUAAAGAAGAUUUCUUCUUCCUCCUCAAAACUAUUGAAAAAUCCCACAUUUGCCCUUUAGUUCAUGCUUGGAUCUUUCCAAGCAAAAUUCGCCCAAUAGAAUAUGGAGGAAAAGGAUGACAUGCAGGCCCCCACGGUCGUGCGAAUUUGUCGAUUCCUCUUGGUGCGCUUCUCUCCCUUUCUUGCUCUCAGUGAUCGUAGAUAACCAAAGUUGACGUUUGAACACCUCUGAUAACGAAAAAAGUAUCAAAAAAAAAUCCUAAACUUAUUAUAUUUAUGUCAAUUUGUAUCAAUCGAGUUUAUCUCGCUAAUUUAAGCCGAAAAUCACUAUAUGAAUAUCAGUCAUUCUAUGUGGUACAACCGACAUAAACAUUGAUAUAUUUAUAUAAUUUUUUGUUUAUUUUUUCUCGAAAAUCAUGAUUUUUUUUUAAUAUCUAUAUCAAUAUCGUCUUUAUCACAUAGGAUGACUGACAACAACAUUAGAGAUUCUCGAUUUAAAUUGGCCAAAUAGACUCAAUUAAUAUAAAUACAAAAAAAAUUAUGACUAAGUUGAUUUAAUUGAAAAGUUUAGAACUAAAUUGACGUAAAUAUAAUAUGUUUAAAACUUUUUUAAAACUUUUCCAACCUCCCACGGGUUGGGUCCAAGACAGCAUCUUGUCCUAAAUUAAUUUCCCAGACCCUACCUAAUCCACCCAGAUUAUCUUUUCUUUCUCCUCUUUCCCAAGCCCCGACGAGUUAAGAUAUUCAGGAGUUCAAGAGAAUCAAAUGGUUAUCUUACUUAGCCAGAGACAAAUCAAAGAUUACUUUAGUAGACAAGCAAGCAACAGACAAUGAGAACGGGAAUCUGCACUCGGCGUUUUCUAAAUGCGCCCCGGUGUGUAAAUUGUCGCGAUUUGCGAAUACAUGCGGAGUCUCUUGCCCGUCUUUUUUUUUUUUUUUUUCCUUUCUUUUUCGAUAGUCAACAAAUUAAUUGAUUCUUGAUUGACCUGUUCAAUCAAGCCGGUCACAUCACAAGAACCCGUCUCUUUCGUGGAGUCGGUGGGUGCGGUCUUGUGAAAACACCAUAUACUCAUAAUUAUGAUCUUUAUGUACAUUUCAUAUUUGGAUUGUGCUAAUGAGCGAUCCUGUGACACUUAUCAACAUGUUUAAUUUGGGAUCAUUAAAUUUUCAACCACUUAAUUUCCAAAUUUGUUAAUAUGAGAUAUACAUAUCUUUAUUUUACUUAUGAUUUAUGGGGAUCCCACAUUCCCUUUGUCUCCAUUUUUCAGGGAAAAAACAUGCAAAACCUAUAAUUUCCAUAACAGCCCUAAUAAUCGUGAAAAUAGUGCAUUCACAUUUUAGAAUUUUUUGAAGAGCUGUCACAAGGUGGUCGCUUUGUUGAGCACUCCUGAUAUUUACAUCGGAGUUAAAUCUCCGAUCAUCUCAAUCCCGACUAUAUACUAUCAUUAGACUUUGAGAUCACAGGCCAUUAUUUUGUCAUGAGAUGAUCUAGAAAAAUCCCAUUUGAUAUUAGGACAUUGCUUUGGAUGCUAAAAGUGGACCUUGAUGCUCAUUGUACGUGUGGAUCCAAGUCGAGCUCCAACAUUUUAUAAACAAUUUCAAGAUUCAAAAAAGGAUGGAAUGUAUAAAGACAUCGAUAUAUUAAGUGAUAUAAUGGACUGUAAUUGGCUGUUUAAACAAGUAAUCGUCUUUAAAUACAAUGAAAUCCCGCCGCAUUUCUUAAUAGACCGAUGUUGUAGCUUUCGUGAGAAGAUGGCGCAGUCCUUUGUUCUUUUUUUUUAUCUACGCUCGUGUCAAUUAUUGUCGAAUGACAACAUGCAUUGUUAGUGUAUAUUUUGAAAUUCAAGAGAUACAGAAAAUUCAAACGAACGAAGGAAUGUUCGGAUUCUGCGGUUCCUCCCAUAUUUUUUUUUUCUUUGGUCGAACUCUAAUAGAGGAAUAUGAGAAUGAGUGAUCGAGGGUAUUGACCAACCUUACGAGACUUGAGAUUACACGAUAAAUGGCUGCAAUUGACAUGAUCAAGUAAGUAUUCCCUUCAAGUCAAGUUGUAUUUAUUGUACAGCAUGUCCGUUAAUUCAGAUCAAUCAAUAUUGGCCUUCAUACGUACAUGGCGUCAAGUAAAACGAGAUUCAUGAUGUAGUUUGUAAUUGUGACCAAUAGAUUGGUUAAACAAGUGAGUCGGAUCGAUAAUGGUUCGACUCAAUUAUACAUAUUUGGUGACCUAUAUUUAGUUUGACCUAGCUCACUUUAAUCCAAUUUUAAAACAUUAAUAACCAAAUUAAGAUGAGAUUGCGAGAGUAAGCAAGUGUAAGAUAAAAUAUGGGUAAGGGGGAGUCACGUAAGUGAAUUGAAUCUAAAUAAGUUAAUGAUUUCACUCAGCUUGUCAUAUAUGGAUUAAGAAAAUAAUUUAUAAUUUAAUCUGACACGUCUAGUAGUCAGUUAAUGAUGGUGUUGCUGGAUCCCAGUCACGUGCUGUCUUUCCUGGGGCGGUCAGCUGCACUGCGAGCAGCCGGAGGCUUUUCGCGCCAGCCAUUGUGGUCGCAAAACCGACACUCCGUCGGCGUACGAAGUUCACAGGAUCUUUUUAUACACCGCAAAGCGCAAGAGCACCGCACUUCCACAGACCCACGAGAAAAACGAAAGGACGCUUUCGUCCUUUUUCGUCUCUCCAUCACCAUCAGCAUCAUCAUCAACCUCCCGAAUUCAACGGGGGCCGGCGGGAACGGCAAGGGGAAGGAGGCCAGCAUGGAGAACGGGGCGCCGGCUUGGAAGUUCCGGGGCGACGAGGGGCUCUUCGCCGCGUCGGACAUCACCGUCCGCGGCAUCCUCUACCAGCUGAUGACGAACCUCAACGCGGGCGACGGCCGCGCCGUGGUCCCGCUGGGUCACGGCGACCCUUCCGCCUUCCCUUGCUUCCGCACGGCCCCCGCCGCCGAGGACGCCGUCGUCGACGCCCUCCGCUCCGCCAAGUUUAACUGCUACGGCCCGACAGUCGGUAUUCUUCCCACCAGGAGCUAAAAAAGCGGUGUCGUUUUCGCGGCCCUUUUUGGCUAGAAUCUAAAGGGGAAUAAAAAGCGGCACCUCGUGAAAUCUUGAGACGAGCAGAUAAUAUGCUCUGUAGAAGCUCGGUGAUAGCACGGACCGGCUCGUGCUUCUUAUGGUCGGGACCGUUUGUUUGGCUGCGCCGCCAUAUUCGCUAAGCAUGUCAUUUCGCAUUCUCGAUCUUCCUCGUACCUAUAAGUCGCGAUUGUCGAUGUGUUUAAGGUACCGACAGAGCCGUGUCCCUAAAAAUCACCGGGAUUUACGUUCAUGUGGUCAUGCAAGACUUAAGAAAUUAUAUGGUUAAAGAGUCAAUGAUGGGGAGGCUGAUGACUGGCUAGUUUGAAAGGCGACCCAAUAGAGGUUCUUGGACCUUAUUGUGCGUUUCGUUUCGUUCGCAACAACCGCAAGGGGUCGAAUGCAAAAUGCCUAGUUCUGGCGGUUGUUUUGCUUCGUUUUUUACGAACCAUUUUGGUUCAUUCAUGGUUGUAUCUUAAUAAGCACGGUAGCUGUUAUUGCCGAUCAGUAUCGAUUGUCCUGUAAAUCAUCUCAAAUCAUCAUAUUACUAGCAAAAGCAGUGUGCUUUGAAAACAGGGAGUAAAUGAUGAAACCCAGCCUUAGUGACUACAAGAAGUAGUCCUGUAAAUCAUCUCAAAUCAUCACAUUGUUCUCUUCCUUGCUGAAGUAUGUGAUCAGCUUCAGAAUAUCAUCUCAGUAAUUGCUUGUCAUUUCCGCGAGGGGAAUAUCAUGGACUCAUUCAGAUGAUUUUACCUCUUUUAUGUAACGUGUCAUGAUUAUACAUUUCGUUCCACUGGGUAAUGGCUUGUGAUUGCGGAAUAAAUCAGGUUCUCACGGUAUGGGAGUUGAUGAACUUGUCUUGCCCAUCCAACAGUUGGCAGCGCUUGAUUCUUAGGACGAUGCUGACCAAAUGGCACCUCCCUGGAAUUGCCAAUGUAUUGAGAAGCUCCCCUAGCUCGGAAGUGCUAGAUAUACACAUCAUCCCAGGCGAAGUGCCUUCCAUGGAUGUAAGUAAAUUUAUCCCCAUUCAAAGCUGUCCUCUACAUGCUAUUCUGGGGGUGUGCAAAAUUUUGUGUAACUGUCUGUUCUGAUUUUCUAGGCCCAAGAAGCAUGGCUGCAUUUGUACAAGAUUUGCGAGGGGAACUACUGGGAUUUACAAGAUCGCUCUUUUAGAUGUCUUGCAAACUGCCUCAGAAUUGUCACAGCGUCCAGUGACAUAAAGGAGGAUCAUGUGAUUCAAUUAGUGCAGUUUUUACUCCGUGAGGCAUUUGUUUUGCAGAAGCUUGUCGUCUCUACAGGGCCGAACGAUUCUUCCAUUUCAGUCAAGGAGUCGAAGGAAUUUUCCGACAAGUUGUUGAGUUUUCCCAGAGGUUCUCCUCAAGCUGUAGUUGUGUUUUCUAAUGCAUGACGUUCUUUCCCUGAAUCCUAAGUUUUAAUCCCGAGGUAAUAAGAAGUGGCACCUACCGCAGGGUUGAUUGUGUUACAAUCCUGAUCGACCAGAUUUUGUGAUUGUGAAGCAUAUCUGAUCAAGAUUUCUCGAGUGUUAACUUUUUGGGUUUCGCUGUUCUUCCUUCUGAUUUCUUUCUCUCUCUGGCAACGGGUGUUACCUUUUGAAGAUGCAUUGACAUUAUUGGGAUCGCCUGAAGAGGAGGCUGCUUGUAGAAACUGUUUCUCUGUCAAUAUAUGCUUGGCAGGCCAAUUUGUUUUUGAAGCGGGGGAUUCUGGAGCGACCUCCUUUGACAUUGUAGGUGUAUUCAAUAUCUUGAACUCACUCACAAAAACAUGAAUGUAGAUAAAUUUCGUCCAAUAUAUUACAUUUACAUCCAAUAUCUCUCUGUCCAUGGCAAAUAAAUUUCGUUGAUAUCCCCCCCCCCCCCUUUUUUUUAAUAAUCUUGUUAUUCUUUUUGUUAAAUUAUGCACUGCAUGAAGUACAAAGGUUGCACUGCACUGCCAAAGAGAAAAGUACAGAGGGUGAAAGAAAUGCCCAAAGUGAAAAUGCGCAUCCUGGCAUUCGAAGAGUCGUAAUCACUUGCAGAUAACAUUGUCGUGCGAUCACAAGGCCUAAAGUCAAGCGAUUGUAGCUUCAUUUGUAAUCGCAUAUUGAACAUUAACUGCUUGGAAGUAGAUAAGAUGUGCAAAAUAUCGAGGCCUAAAGUCAAGCGAUUGUAGCUUCAUUUGUAAUCGCAUAUUGAACAUUAAUUGCUUGGAAGUAGAUAAGAUGUGCAAAAUAUAGAAGUUGACGUGUGAGUAAGGGAACCGCGUCACAAACUCAAAUCUAUCUAUUUUCUCACUUUCAGUUUAUCAAUAUAUUUUCGUUUUCGAUACUUGCACUUCCUUUCCCUUUAGAUUCGAUUGUUCUUGAUCAUUGUUAUGCAAUUCAAUGUACCAUCCGAAAUAAUCACUGAACCGGAUUCACAAACACCCAAAGGUUAACCAUUGGCGAAAGGUAUUCUACUAAUUUCUAACGAAACAAUCUUUCAUAUCUCGGGAAGGAAUAAACUAAUUUGGAGUAUUUUAUUUUUUACAGUUUGAGUGUCUAAAUUGUGUUCAAUUCUAUCAUGGUAUUAUAUUGAGGUAAGAGGUAUUUUGAUGGUCUCAAGAAACAAGAAACAUUGGGAUUUUUUAUACAAUAUGGUCGUUCCUUAGAUGGGAAAUUGAUGGUGUACGAUGCAAUAGAUUGGAUCCUGAAGAGAAUAGUGGAUUCCCAAAAACCGGAUUCGACACUAAAUCGAACCCCUAAAACGAAUGCGGAAGACGAGCCCAGGAAGAACAUGUAUCACCGAUCAAAGACACACCAUGGAAUCGAGCGUACCUUAUUGUCCACAGAUUAAACACCAAUGCUGACGAUCGAGGAAAAAUUUUUGAUCCCGUUCUAUCAAGGAGCGUACUGUUAGUUCAAGGGGGAGAAAACUUACGUUGGUUUUGGGAGAGGAGAAAAGAAAAACGUACGUUCGUCCAAAAGGUGCGUUUUCUUUUUCUUUUCUCCCUUUAAAUAUGUCUUCUCCAAAAGACGUGUCCCUUCGGUAAAAGACAUUCCCCCAAAGUUAUAACCCUUCAACAUAUCCCUCCAUCCAUGGGCCUUAAUCUUGUGGGUCGGGCUUUUAGGCCUUAAUCUUGUGGGCCGGGCUUUGGGCGGACGGGCCUUAAGCCCAUCGUCAUACAAAUAAAUAAAACCAACAUCUCCCACUCGCACAUGGUGGGCUGAACAGGAUCCUCUUUACCUCUCUUCAACAUUCAUACCGGUGAAUAAUCCGUGCGAUCAACAUACUUUGAGAGCUCAUUGCUAUACAUCUGUUAGAAAUAUAUAGCAACUCAUAAUGGGCAUCACACUUUGAGUAGAUCGAUCGAUCACAUUUAUAUCUCUCUUGAUCUUUUUUAAAUAAUUAUAUAUAUAUAUAUAUAUAUAUAUAUAUAUAUAUUGUAUUUGUUAGGGAAAUCCCUUAUGAUGUUUUAAAGAUGACAAAAUAAAUCAAAGGCUACUAACAUGUUUAAUGGUUAAGUAAUAGACCAUGCAGAUGAUAGAACAUGUAAAGGAUAUUGUCAAAGUGGGAAGACGACCAGAAGACUGAACGUAACAUGUGCCCAAAGUAUAUUCUGAAGAUUUCCAGACUUCUGUGUCAAAGUCUGAAGGCUGCCAGACUUUAGUGUCAAAGUCUGUUCUACAUCAGAAGUCUGCUCACUCUGACAAAUUCCAGACUGAACGUGAAUGAUGAACCAGAAGACAGACUCUAUGCUGAAGCUGAACUGGGUACAGACCUUAAAGCUAAAUCUGUUCAGAAGCAGAAUAUGUUCAGACUCAGAUUGCAAAGUCUAUCGCACUCAGAUUCAGAUUGUAAAGUCUAUUGCUCUCAGACUUUACAUCCAGAACUCGACAGAACGUAACUCAAGCCCAAUCAUAUAACGGCUAGUGAUCUGGUUUGGAUUCCACAUCAAGAUUGAUUUGAUUGACUCAAUCUAUUUGAUUGACGAUUGGAUCUUGAAGACAAGAUCUUUCUAUACGAAGAAGCUUUACUUAUGGAAACCAAGAUUUCAUUUGUAUGGGCGAUCGGAAUCAAUUUGGGAUUCUACCUUUGUCACUCAACGGCUACCAAAUCUUCUAGAUACAGAGCUGUCCAAUAAGUAUAUUGGAAAACGAUUCUCUGGGAUACUGUCCAACGGCUAGUUUGGAAGUGGAGAAGUAUUUAAGGAGAUGAAGGACCGAUGAGCAAGUAAGAGAUAGAGCGUAGAAUUUAUAAUUCCAAAGUCUGAGCGACCUUCGAUCAUAUACUUGUCUCUUGAGAGCUUAAACGUUUGUGAUCGUGAGAGAAAUACCAAGAGAGUGACUUAGUGAGAUAGUGUGAUCUACUAAGUGUUUGCACUCAAAGUUGUAAUCUCUUGUUGAUUGCAUAGUGGAAUCCAGCCAAGAAGGUUGUUAGUGUGGGAGAGUGGACGUAGGCUUGGAUUAAGUCGAACCACUAUAAUUUCUGUGUUCUUAUUCUCUUCCCUAACUCCUUUGUUUAAAGUUUAUUUUAUUACGCAUAUAUUUGCCAAGAUUUAUCUUAAACACCUAUUCACCCCCCUCUAGGUGUUCAUACUAGCACUCUCAGUAUUCACAAUUAUGAUUAUCCCAAAGACAGUCAUAAUUAGUUGACCAGUGAAUACAAAACUACAAUGUGAUUCUCCAAAUUCAAUCUUCCUCUUUCCUUCAAACUCUCAAUUUCAGUUCAGCUUGCUUUUCUAGAAAUGUCCCAUUAGAUCGAAUCAACUCAUGACCAUUGGCAACAUCCUAAAAUAGUAGACACUAAAUAGAAAUCUUUAGAAUAAGUAAAAGUCAUUAGGACACUAAAAAAUUGAGGAACUCUUUUCAAGAGUCUCACACAGCAUAAAAGUUUAGAUCAAACUUUUGCCACUCUUAUUGGUCGUCUCAUGCAUACAUAGUAUGAAAUACGUAUCAUGGUAUUAACUCCUUUCCCAUGGAGCAUAUGUUUACACUUUCAAUACCGUACAUAUGAUAGUUUAGACAUAUCCAAUGUCUAACUUGAGUUCAUGUAUCUACUCAUUCAAUUCACAAAAUUCAUCGGAACUCACAUCUGGCAUCAUAGACAGAUAAAGUAAAAUAUGUGGGUUAUUUUACUUUUGGACAUAAUAAAUAUUAUGUCAUCAUCUUAACACCCAGUUAAGGCGACAAAUAUAUUUUAAACUUGAGCUCUCGAUUAUCACCUACAUAAUAAGCUUAAAAACCGUUUCAUCUCUAUUCAUCACAUAGUAAAUAGAGGCAAUUACCCGUGUGAGUAGGCCAAUCUUAUAUCUGUCCAACAUACUUUCUCAACUUAAAGUAAUGCACUGAGCAUUAAGAUGCAUAAAGAUCAAACAAAGACUUAUAGGCAUUAAUAAUGAAAAACGCAAGUUCAUUAAUGUGAACAACUCAGGGAAAUUACAAUAUCCAGUACAUCAGACUCUACGCAAUCCUAGAGAUUUUACAUGACCACAAAACACAUCUCUAGGUAUUGGCUUUGUCAUAGGAUCUGCUACCAUUUUAUGUAUAGAUAUGUACUGUAAGUUCACAUCCUUUCGUGCAACCAUAUCUUUGACAAAGUUAUACUUGGUAUCUAUAUGUUUGGUCUUGUCAUAAUAUUUUGGAUCUUUGGUGUACGCUAUAGCUGCUUGGCUAUCACAGUUAACCAAUAGUGGAUUUGCAGCUUUCUUAAUAACACAUAAGUGAUCCGAAAAUCUCUUAAGCCAAACCCCUUCUUAUACCGCUGCUGACAAUGCCACGAACUUAGCUUUCAUCAUGGACAAGGCUAUACAUGUUUGCUUCUAACUACUCCAUGAUACGGUGCCAUUAUUCAGUAAGAAAGCAAAUCCAAAGGUAGAUUUCCUUUCAUCUAAAUCUCCUCCCCAAUCAGCAUCUGAAUAGCCUUCAAGUCGCAGAUCCUUUCCUUGAUAAUUCAGCUUGUAAUUAGCAGUUCCCUUCAGAUACCUCAGUAUUCUCUUAACGGCCUUCCAAUGUGCUUGACUUGGGUUGGAUUGGUAUCUACUCACCAUUCCAACUGCAAAAUAUAUGUCAGGUCUUGUACAUAUCAUAGCGUACAUCAAACUCCCAAUGGCACUAGCAUAAGGAACAUGUUUCAUUUGUUCAUUUUCUUGUGGAGUCCUUGGACAUAGUCUAUGACUCAAUCCUUCACCUUUUGCAAUAGGAGUGUCUAUGGGUUUACAAUCUUGCAUACGAAAUCAUUCAAGAACCUUAUUUAUAUAUGUUUCUUGCGAAAGAGAUAACGACCUCUUCGAACGAUCUCUUGAAAUCUUAACUCCAAGAAUGUAUGCAGCCUCACCCAUAUCUUUCAUCUCAAAGUUGGAAGAUAACCAACUCUUGACAGUGUUUAUAAACUCCCUAUUGCUUUCGGCAAUUAGUAUAUCAUCAACAUAUAAUGAUAUGAUCACAAAUUGAUCUUUGGAUCUUUUGAUAUAUACACAAUGAUCCUCAUCUAUCAUUGUAAAAUCAUAUGCCAUUAUGGCAUUAUGAAAACGUAUAUACCAUUGUCUCGAUGACUACUUAAGGCCGUAUAUCGAUCUCAAAAGUCGACAUACCUUUCCUUUUUGGCCUUUUGUAAUGAAACCAGUAGGUUGUUUUAUAUAUAUUUCUUCAUCUAAUUCUCCAUUGAGGAAAGUAGUCUUUACAUCCAUUUGAUGUAACUCAAGAUCCAUACUAGCCACUAUUGCCAGAAUAAUGCGAAUCGAGGUAAAUCUCACUAUAGGAGAAAAUGUUUCUUCAUAAUCAAUUCAUUUCUGUUGAUUAUACCCCUUCGCCACAAGGCGAGCCUUAUGCCUUUCUAUCGAGCCAUCAGCUUUUCACUUUAUUUUGAGAACCCACUUGUUCCCAACAGCUUUGCGUCCUUUUGGAAGAUCAACCAGUUCCCAAACUUGGUUUGACUUCAUUGACUCAAUCUCCUCUUCCAUUAUAUGAAUCCAUUUUUCCUUACUAGGGCAAUUCAGAGCCUCAUUAAUAUUUCUUGGCUCAUCUUCAUCUUGCGGAGCAAUCAUAAAAGUUUCCCCUUCAAUGUCAAAACGUCGACGGGGAAUACUUUUACGACUUGUUCGCCGUAUGGGAGAUUGUACACUUUGCACAUCAUUCCCCAUUAUGCUCCUACUAGGAUUGGAUAAUGAUGAUGUCGUCUCAUCAUGUGGUUGUAAUUGAGAAUGAGUUGAGUUUAAUUCAUCACUUCUCAUAUUACUUCCACUUGGACGAACUCCACUAAUAUCAUUAUCUUGAUCCAAGGUUUCAAAUAGGGAGUUUCAAAUAGGGAGUAAUCUUCUCCUAUUUCGUCCUUCUUAGGAAAUUCAUCCUCUAAGAAUGUAACAUCCCGUGAUUCAAAUUCAGUUAUACUCCCACUUUCCUGCUCACCUAUGAACACAUACCCUUUCGAGUGUUCGGAGUAUCUUAUUAAAAUACUAUUCUUUCCUUUGGGACCCAAUUUCCUAAACUUGUGAGAGGGCUCAUGAGUAUAGGCAGCACAUCCCCAUGACUUAAGAAAACUUAAGUCCGGUUUUCUACCCGUCCAUAACUCAUAUGGAGUGGAAGUAACUGAUUUGGAAGGCACUCGGUUAAGUAUAUAGGCAGCAGUUAACAACGCAUCACUCCAAAAAGUGAUAGGUAAGUUAGCAUGUGCCAUCAUGGACCUAACCAUUUCCAAUAGGAUUAUGUUCCUUCUCUCCGCAACAACAUUUUGUUGAGGAGUAUAUGAAAUAGACAACUGUCUUUCUAUUCCUUUUUCUAUUCCUUUUUCAUCACAUAAUUUUCUGAACUCAUCAGAUAAAUAUUCUCGACCUCGAUCGGAUCUCAAUGCUUUUAUUUUCUUGUCUAAUUGAUUUUCUACCAAGUUCAUAAACCUUUUGAAACAACUUAAUGCUUCAGAUUUAUGAGAAAUCAAAUAGACAUCCGAAUCGAAUAUAAUCAUCUAUAAAAGUGAUGAAAUAAAUAGCCCCAUGCCUUCCUCUCACAUUCAUUGGACCAUAUACGUCAGAAUGGAUUAAAUGUAGAGGAAAUUCAGCUCUUUUACCUUUUUCCAAAUGGUUUCAUUGUCAUUUUCUCUACUGGCCAAUGCUCACAUAUAGACAAAUCAACUUUUUCAAUAUUACCCAACAAGCCCUCUUUGGCUAGUCUAUUCAUACGUUGUUGGCCAAUAUGACCAAGUCUAGCAUGCCACACAUUCACAUCAUUAUCAUAUGAAUUAGGAGACGUGAGAAGGGAAUAACAAACAUUUGCAUUAACAUAGUCAAUAUCUAAUAUAAUGAAACCAUCCAGAAAAUAACUAUACCCAUAGAAAUUUGUAUCCAAAAACAAAUCCACACCUCUAUUAUGAAAGUUCAUAUUAAAACCUAACUUGACCAACACUAAAACAGAUACUAAAUUCCGACGAAUCUCCGAAGCAUACAAUACACCAUGUAGGAAUAAAGUGCGUCCACCACGCAUGUUCAGUUGGCAGGUGCCAAUUCCUUUUACUUUAGCUCUGAAGUUGUUUCCCACAUAGAUCCACUUAGUUCCAGUUGGUACUCGUCGGAAUUCCAUGAAGGAUCCUCUAUCCUUCGUUACAUGGUCUGUCGCUCCUGAAUCUACAGUCCACAAAGGAUUAGACUCAGUUAAGAAUACAGAACUCGACACAUAAGCAAAGUUCUAAAAAGUACAAGGGGUGUAUACCUUCUUUGGCUCACGACAGUCACGAGUAUAGUGACCAUUCUUGUCACAAUUGUAACACUUCACCCUUGUAAGCUUCUUCAUUCGAGGACGCUUUCCUCUUUCAUGUUGGUUAAGCUUAGAGGUCUUCCCUGAAGGACCUGUUUCCUUGCCUUUCCCUUUAUCGAACCAGUUAGGACAUUUGCGCUUGGAGCUCGAAGCUCCAUGUGAACUAGAACCAAUAUGAUAGAUUUCAGCUUUUGGCUUAGCCGCCAAGAGGCGGUCCUCUUCCAGCUCAAGAUGACGCACUGCAUCCUCAAAGGUUUUGAUAUUCUCAUUAUGAGUCAGGUGCACCUUCAUAUGCUCACAACUCUGAGGCAAGGAACGAAUCACUGCUUGCACAUGCUGCUCAUCAGUCAGGACAUGGCCAUCAUCUUUCAGCUCAUUAAUCAUGUUUGACAUCUUUCUAAAAUGUUACUUUAUGAUUUGACCAUGAGGUUUCUUAUAAGAGUCAAACCUAAUAGUGAGCUGCCUCAGUCUGGUCACCGAAGUAUGACCAAAUCUUGCUGCCAAUGCUUCCCACAUUUUCUUGGCAUUCUUAAAAUGCCUAAACUCUUGUAUGACGCCAUUUUCCAUGCUACUCAGUAACGUAAUGCGAGCAAGAGAGUUCUUUCUUUUCCAUGCAACAAAUGCUUCCUUAUCUCUCUUGUGCUGUGUAGUGUUUCCUUCUUCAGGUUCUACCAUGGUUAGGUUAAGAGCUUCUAGUGCCUCUUGCUCUUCUAGCACAUAUUGGAUUUUCAUGUGCCAUAUUUCAUAGUUAUCGCCAUUGAGCUUUUCACCUUUGUUCAGCUCGGCAACUAUGCUCUUUGUGGCUGAAGCCAUUAAUCUGAACACAUUGAUAUAUAUGCACGAAUAAUUAAUGCCUAAUAUUUAUGCAUCCACUUUGCACAAAACCAUCAUAUUAAUGAAUAAUUUCAAGUAAGGUUUCGGAAUCAAAAAGUCACUAUGUUUCCAAUCAUUCUAAAAAAAUCCUAACUUAAAACUAUCAUUAAUAUAAUUGUCCAUGCAAAUAAAUUCUAUGAAGCUACAAAAACUUCUAUGAACUACCCACAUCAGUCAACAAUAAUAGAAAGCAAAUAAUAUUUGACAUUCAAUAGAAUAAUAAUGCUUUCACAUAAUACAACUAACGUAUUAGUUGCCACACCAACAAUAACUAGGUAGAAAAACAUUACAUAAGAUGUCCACAAAGCACACUAAACAAAGACCAGCCAAUACAUCUAACACCAAAUCAAUACACGAACUGGGAAAGAUCCUCUUUUGUUCAAUUUCUUGAUCUUUUCCCUUGUAACAAUCCAGUAAUAAUCAUCUAUAAAAUCCAUCACAAUUUUCCUGUAUGAAGCGGCUUUGUUGACAUCCCAUAUGCGAUUCAACACUCCUUGUCAUUCUGGUGGAAGAAUGUUUAUGAAAAAAUCGCACAAUCUCAGACUGUGACAUGGGACGACCAUUCCAUAUCACAUUUUGAAUUUUCCCAUUGACUUCAAAAAGGUGAUCAAUUAAGUCGCUACUCUUUCAUGGAUGAUUAGUCAGCUCAGCUAUCAACUUAAAAAGCCUUUCCUUUUGUUCAUCGGUAAUUGCGCGAAUAUGUGUGCGCAACCUAAGGGGAGGCAUUGUUCCUGCAACAAAUGCAGAACAAAUAAGGGAUCACAUAUAAUCCACAUAGACUUAAUUGGAAAAAGAAACACAUUCUUUUCCUCUCUCUUUUUUUUGUCAACGGUCAAAGUCAACGGUCAACCGGGUCGAAGUCAAUGGGCGGCGGGUCGGGCCGGACGGACCGGUCGGGUCGGGCCGGACGGACCGGUCGGACCGGUCAGGCCGAGCGGGCCGGUCGGACAAACCAACCGACACGUGCCACGCUCGUGCCUGGCUGACGUCACGAUGACGUUAGCCGGUGCGUGCGUGGCACGCGCCAGCACCCCGCUCGUGCGUUGCACGCGCUUGGGGCCGAAACGGCGCGUGCGACGCACGCGCCUGCGGGGGACCGAAUCGGCGCGUGCGUUGCACGUGCCGAUGACCCCCGCUCGUUCCGACCGCGCGUGGCGGCGCGUCCGGCGGCCCUCGGCGGCGAUCCGCCACUCGUUUUUCUCGUCUUGACGAGGGCUUCAAUCCUACGCUUUUAGAAAAAAAUUUCAACUUACAGAAAAACAAAAAACGGGGCAUACAGAAUCAGGUGUCGGGAUUUUUUUUCUCCCCCGAUUGGUGUCGGCCGAUUUUUUAUGAAAAUUCAAUCAAAAAUCAUUCAUAAACAUGAAAAAGGAUCGGGAAACAAGAACUACGGCUCUGAUACCAAUGAAGGGAAUAGCGGAUUCCCAAAAACCGGAUUUGACACUAAAUCGAACCCCUAAAACGAAUGCGGAAGACGAGCCCAGGGAGAACAUGUAUCACCGAUCAAAGACACACCACGGAAUCGAGUGAUCUUAUUGUCCAUAGAUUAAACACCAAUGCUGACGAUCGAGGAAGAAAUUCUGAUCUCAUUCUAUCAAGGAGCGUACUGUUAGUUCAAGGGGGAGAAAACUUAUGUUGGUUUUGGGAGAGGAGAAAAGAAAAGCGUACGUUCGUCCAAAAGGUGUAUUUUCUUUUUCUUUUCUCCCCUUAAAUAUGUCUUCUCCAAAAGACGUGUCCCUUCGGUAAAAGACGUUCCCCCAAAAGUUAUAACCCUUCAACAUAUCCCUCCAUCCAUGGGCCCUAAUCUUGUGGGCCGGGCUUUUAGGCCCAACAUGGGCGGACGGGCCUUAAGCCCAUCGUCAUACAAAUAAAUAAAACCAACAGAUCCAAUUAACUCACGCGAGUGACCGAGAUGAAAGCGCAUUCUUUUGAUCACUGACCGCAUUUGUCGUCUCUGAAAGGAUUCUUAGCGAGGAAGUAGAGUAAGGAACGUGAACAGGACGAUGCUCGUUUCUAUUUUCUGAUACCAUCCUCAGUAUGAGGUUUCCUGUCGGUAUCAAUUUAUUUUGUGAUGUGCACGUCCUUGGACUCUGACUUACCGAACCCCUGGCCCCAGCCACCCCUCCACUCUCUCAUUGCCCAGCUGCUAGAAAACGACAACCUAUUGAUAUUUUUUCUUUUUCUUGGCUUUGACUACGACUUCUCCCAAGGAGUUACAUAAAUUGCUCUUGGUCGGUUGAGAUUUUGUGUACCUUUAGAUUUAUAAGAGGAUAUCUUUUUUGGUCAACUGAUUUUAUUGCUUUUGCUGUUGACAGAAGGGACCAGAAUAAGAAUGCGAGAUAAUAUCUUAAAAAUAUAUAUUAAACAGCUUUAGACUCGUUCGGAUAAAUAAAGUGCAGAUCUAUUUACAUGGAAAAACAAACUGCAAUAUAUAAACGGGCUGUUAUGAUCUAGAAAAAAAGAGAGGAUGGAUUAUUGGUUUAAGGUUCCAAAGAUCUAUUUACAUGGAGAAACAAACCACAAUAUAUAAUCGGGCCAGUAUGGUCUUAAAAAAAAAGUGGACUAUUAGUUUGAUGGCAAGUCAAAACAAACAUUACGAACAAUGAAUCGAUGCUCUACCAACCAGCGUUCGAUGGCUCUUCUGUCACGCGUAUUCACGUUCGCAAUUUGAACAAUGCACAGAACACCGCAAUUGUUCUUUAAAUCAUCCCAAAUGCUUUGAAAUUCCCUAGCCUCAGCGGUGGAAGAGAGGACCAAAACUUCAUUUUGUCGGAUCCAUUGAAUGGCCUGAUUGACAUUUUCUCGAGCUUGCUGGUAGGCAUGACGAUGAUCAUGCUUUUCAGCUUGUCUGAAAACGAUAAUAAAAAAGAAAAUAAAAAACCCAUACAUAAGAGCUGGAAAAAAAAAAUUUUAAGAAAAAAAUGUAACUCACGUAAGUUGCGGAUCAUUUUGGGCUUUUAUCCAGGCAGCCCGAUGCAUGUCCAAGAGUUCACACUUCCGCCGCAAAUUGUCAGCUGCACUCAUUUUCAGAGAAGUUUCCGAAGAGGGGGACAAGAGAGACUUUUGAAGAGAGAAGUGAGGAGGGUGAUGAAGAGAGAACCGAGGAGGGUGAGGAGGGUGAUGAAGAGAGAUACAUGCGCUUCUUAUAUACACGGUUCUUGCUAUUAAGGAGGCCGAUGGCGUGCAGAAACCGUGUGCAUGUGGUCCCCGACCAUUCACGCGGCGCCACGUGGAAGCAUGUCAACAUGAAGCUUACACUGGAAGAAAUGGCCGAGCUUGAAUCGAUUGCUUCUGCGGACAAUGUCAAGGGUGGCAGGUACGAUGGAAGCAUGUCUACAUGGGAAAACUCCGACACUCCACCCCUUUCUUCUUGGAAACCUACGUAGAAGCGUGUUUGCUUCUGUUGCUGCAUCUUUGAUGUGCAGAGUUUGAGCAUUUGCCGUUGAAGUAAUUUGAGUUUAUGUUGUGUGGCUGUUAUAAGUAUGUGUAAUAAGAGAGUGACUGUUUUCAUUUUGUACAUGUG
rnacentral:lncRNA from 1 species